CAGAGUGCAGGUACUAAACUGCUCCUGCAAUUUCUGUGGCAAUUCGUAAACGCAUUUUACAUGUAAGUGGAAAGUCCUCAUUCUGCUGGUGGAUAUAAUGGGAAAUGGUUCCGUUUGAUAUGAAUUCGUAAACCAAAAGUGGAACUUCGGUCUCCAAACAACAACCCAAUAGUUGAACCACAUUUCUGUGGUUGAUUUGUGAAAGAAUCACAACCUCAUUGAUGAAUUCUGAAAGUUUGCCUUUGUCCACUAUUUUAGACUUUUUCACAGCAACAAUUCUUCCAUCAGCCAGCAUACCUUUGUAAACAGUACAUUGACCUCCCUGGCCAAGAAUCCUAUCGGCGCUAAAAUUGUCGGUGGACUUCUCUAACUCUUUCGAUUUGAACAACUUGAUUUUCUUAACACUAACUUCACUUGAUGAUAAUUGUUUUUCUAACAACAAACCACCAUUUCGUUUGACAUUUUCUAGCGCUUAAUAUCUCUCUGUUUCCUUGUUACUUUGUAUCCCCACCUUGCAGAAAUAAGUAGUAACAGUAGUCCAAUGCUAGUUCCAAGACCUACAUAAUUAUGCAAACACAUUUGUAUACCUGUGAAAUGAAUUUCCUUAAUCAACCAAAUGAAGGAGAGUAAGUAUAUAUAGGAAAGCAUAUAUUUUACCUAAAAGAAUAGGCCUAAGUUUGGUUGACCGAGAGGUUGGAGGCCUGUUUCUGAAGUAGCAUGAAAACUCACUGGUAGCGCCAGUUAUAUUUUAGUAGAGCAUAUGUUACCCCCCAACAAUAUUCUCACAUAAAGCGUUACUAAUGUUCCAUGGUCAGCAUUAUAAGUUAUAACACUCCUUAAGGACCUUGCAUUCAUCAAUAUCUGAAUAUAUUAGCCAACGCCAAAGGAAAACAAAAACAUAAGAAUUAUAUUUCUAUAUGGAUAUUACUUGCCUCUAUUCCCUGGAAGGAGAUUCUCCUAUUUGUUGCAUAUCAUAGUUUGACGCAUUUACAAAAAUAAUUCAUCAAAAACACAAAAAGAAAAACUUCUACACACAUGUCAUAUCGCUAUUGACAAAAAUGUAGGAGUUCCUACUUACAAAGUAAGAGAUAAAUAUUUUCCUUUAUGUAUUAAUUACUAUUUAUAAAUAAAGUGCAAUUAUCAAACGAAAAAAAAAAAAAAUUAGUUCAGAUCAAGCAUUUUGUGUACACGAUUAAAUUGCCCUAGUAGCUCAAUUGUGGAUCUGAUAUUUUUCUUAAUAACGAGGACAAGUUGUUCGAUGAAAUGCCUCAAGAACUGAGGAAAGAACAAGCAAUGUUUGACGGCUUCAUUCUCUUCCAUUUACUAUUAAUAAAGAAAAAGUGUUUUGCAGAGUGAUCUGGUCAAUAUUGAUGCAUGUUUUGAAGCUUGCAUGUGAGUAGAAUUAGAAGAUUUAUUACCUUGACAAGCUUGGAGAAGAUAGGGACUUCCUUCAAAGCCGUAUGGACAAUAACAUUUGACCGUUGAACGAUUAUUGUAUGUGGCAAUAGAUUUAAAGCAAUAGGGUCUUGAGUCACUAUAAACCCUUAGACACCUAAACUCUUAGAACAAACAAAUGUUCAUUCACUGAAUCUUUACUUCUCAGAUUAUUACUGAUAGUACGUAGCAUACAUUACCUUACAGAACAUCAUAAUCUAAAACAACAUAUAAUAGUGUGCAGCAUCAAAUUAAACAUAUUUUACAAGACCCAAGUGUUUUAAUUAACUUGUUUACCAUGUCUCAGAAGAUGAUCGUCAAAAUUCAUCAGAUGUUGAAUUUGUGCCCGUAUCCGAGGCUGACUCUGUUGAACUUGAAAGUUCAACCCCAUUGUAAUUAUGUUGAGCAUUAGAAGAUUUUUCAAUCAACAUUUGAAUGGCCUCCAACUCCGCCGUGACCUCUCUCAUAGUGGGGCGGUUCCUUCCAUUCAAAUCCAAGCACCUCAUUGCAAGGUUAGCAAAAGUUGUGAUAUCUGCUUUGGAGCCCUCCAUCACAACCCUAGCAUCAAGAAUGUCAAAUAGUCGGUCUUCCUCCAUCGAAAUAAUGAAACAAGUGGCAAGACUUCUGCGUUCUUUUUCUUGUGACCCGAUUACUGCAAAAACUGGUUGUAGUCCGGUCAAGAGCUCAACUAGGACAACUCCGAAACUAUAGACAUCACUUUUCUCCGUAAAUUGGCUUGAUUGGAAGUAUUCAGGGUCCAGGUAACCAAAUGUGCCCUGUACAACGGUGGUCAAGUGUGUCUGGCCAAUCACAAUUGAUCUUGAAGUUCCAAAGUCAGCAACUUUUCCUGUGUAUUUCUCAUCUAAGAGUAUGUUGGUAGAUUUGAUGUCUCUGUGAUAUAUAGGAAACGAAGCUGCACCAUGUAAGUACGAUAGAGCUCCUGCAAUUUCUGUUGCAAUUCGUAACCGCAUUUUCCAUGUAAAUGGAAAGUCUUCAUUCUGCUCAUGAAUAUAGUGGGAAAGGGUUCCAUUCGGUAUGAAUUCGUAAACUAAGAGUGGAACUUCCGUCUCUAAACAACAACCCAAAAGUUGAACCACAUUUCUGUGAUUUAUUUGUGAAAGAAUCACAACCUCAUUGAUGAAUUCUGAAAGUUGACCUUCAUCUAUUAUCUUGGACUUCUUUAUCGCAACCACUUUUCCAUCUGCAAACAUUCCUUUGUAGACGGUACCUUGGCCUCCUUGGCCAAGAAUUCUAUCAAUGUUGAAUUUGUCAGUGGACUUCUCCAACUCCUCUGAUUUGAACAGCUUGAUUUUCUCAACAUUGAUUUCACCUGAUGAUAAUUGUUGUUGUAACAAUAAACCACCAUUUCGUUUGAAAAACUUUUCCUUGCGUUUAAUGUCUUUCCUUUUUUUUAUGACUUUGUAUGCAUACCAUGCACCAACGAGUAGCAACAAUAGUCCGGGACCCAUGAAAACACCUGCAUAUAUAAAUAUACUUGGAAUUAUAAAAAUUAAUGGCCAUGAUGAAUGUGUUAGCUGAUUUUUUGCGCUAGAUAGGUUGACUCUUCUGAAUGCCUAUUUUACCCCCAAUUAUAUCCCCCUUUUUUUCCCCAAAAAAAAAAAAAAAAAAAAAAACUUUUUCCAUUCAUUGUGAAAUUAAUUGCACAAUACCCAUUUAUAAUACAAACCUAUAAUACAAACCCACACCAGUUUUUCCUAAAUUCAAUUUCUUCUCCUUCACCAUCAAAGCCUUGAGAUGGUAAUUCUCCUUCUUUUUCUAGGUAGCUGGGGUUUAUGUAACUACGUAGCUACCAAAUAGGUUUGGGUGUUGAGGUAGCCUACCUAUCAAAGGAGAAUAUGAUUUGUGAGUUUUCUGCACACGUAUACUAAUUAUGUCUUCCUAUUAAUACAUGUCUUUCAUCUCUUCUGAAAUUGCUUCAUCAUUUUUUCUUUGCUGGAAAAGCGGAACAACUGCAAUGUCCUCACAUUCCUCCAGCCCUCAUGUGUCUAUUUCAGCAAAUCCUUACUAACAACAAUGGAUUGCUAAAAGAACUCUAACUAUUAUGAGAUCGAAACAGCAAACGUAAACCUCUUGGGUACGUAAUUAAGAAACUCAUUCUGUAAUUUCAUAUUGUUUAGCUCAAGUGAAAGUUUUUCCAUUUAAAUAUUUUUUUUUAGUUCCAAUGUGUGUAUACAGAAGUCUGCAUAGCAGAAUUUCUGUAUAUAUAUAGGGUGAGGAUCUGGGGACACACAAAAAGCCACAAAUUUAUACACACAUUUUCAACCUUUAGAUUAAAGCACUUUUAAUGGUUAAGAUUGCAUUUGAAAAAAAGUCAAUAAUCUCAACUAUAUGAUUAAUUUGCCUUGGGAGAAUAUAUAUGGUUUUUUGCUACGAUUAUUUGAGGUUUGCUAAGAUAUAUUUGAGGUUUGAACUCUGAAUGAAUAAAAUAUUAUAUAUCUUAGCAAGCCUCACAGAGAUCAUCCUGAGAGUGAGAUCCAAACCAACUAUAUAUAUAUAUAUAUAUAUAUAUAUAUAUAAUAUUUUGACAGUAGUUGAACCAAACCCCAAACGCAUGAAAGAAAAAAAAAAUCAUACUGAGAGAAUUAUAUCAUACCAUUAAUUUAUUAUAUAUUGAUUGAAAUCUUAAGGAAAAAUAAUUAAUGGGUAAGAUGUGAAAUAUGAGAGUGAGAAGAGCUACUUGUUGUUUCGUGCUGGAGAUGAAGAAAGAGUUUGGGUAGUGAUAGAGAAAUCGUCAAAGGCAGAAAGAAGAAUUGGAAGUAGAAGGAAAAAAAACAUAAGAUGACGUGAUGAGAGAGAGAAUGUUAAUGCUUUUAGGAAGUUUGGAAAAUAUAAACGAAGACAGAGAAAAUAUUAUAGCAAGUUAUAAAUGAAGAUUCAAUAAGUAUACUAUAAGGGUUUUUCCCAACAUUUUUAGCAUGGAAUUGGUCUAUAUUAAUAAUAAUGAACUCUAAACAGUAUAAGGGCAUACCUAAAAGAACAGUUCUGAUUCGAGAGGGCAGAGGCUUGUAGUAGCAAUUCCAACUAUUUUCACCAAAACAGCUACAUGUAACUCUGGUGACAUUUGAGUACAAUGUAAAACCACCAACGAAAUUCUUACAUAUAGCACUGCUACUGAAAUCCGAUGUAGGUAGCAGAUCAGGAUCCAUACGCCGAUUAAGCUUGCAUUCAUCAAUAUCUGAAAUAUAAUAACAGAAGGACAAAUGAACAUGAUGAUGAAUGGUGAAGUUGGCUCAUUCCAGAACGAAGCUUGGAUAACGAAAUGGAAGGGUUUUAAUUAAUUACGUACGUACCUUGACAAGGAUGGAGAAGAUAAGGAUUUCCUUGAAAGCCCCCUGGACAGAAGCAAUGAACGCUUGACUGAUUGUAUGUUGAAGAAGUAGUGGCAUUAUAUAUUUCGCAAUAGGGUGUUGAGUCGUUAUAGUUAUAACGUCUGUCAUACACACCUACACUUCUUCGAAUAAAUCCUUCAAAUGCUUUGUGUGAAGUGUUGUCUAAGCUGAUGUUCCAUUCCAGCACCACGGGAACGCUGUCCAUUCCUUGGAUAGCUCUGUAGCUUGAUAAAUUCUUCAAAAACCAAUCUUGGUCAACAAGAAAUGCAUAGUUGCAACCUUCAAGUUGAUCUCUUGGCUGUAUCUCAGUAGUGAAAACGCCGAUAUUUGGAGGAAUGGUAGUCUGGCAACAGUUAUUUCCAAUGGUACCGCAGCGAUAAGUAGCACUAUCUGUACUCUGAUCAUCACAAGUUGAAUUGCAUCCAUGAAAAACAUUCUCAUCUGAUCUCAUGGUAGCAAGACGGCCGCAGCUGACUGCAGUGAACAUGUUUUUUCUGUCCAAGUACACAAAAGGGCUUCCCGUCAAAUUUGGGGCUUGGCGAGUUUCCUUUCCCUUGCAACCGCUGAAGAAAGUAACAGGGCUUUUAACCUGAAGGGUGCCAUCAAUAGAAAUGUUGAGCACCUCCAUUUGGGCGCGCCUCAAGAAGGGCUUGUGCCCAGUAGACUCGUUGCAGUCUAUCUGAAACCAUUCAUUAAAGUAACAAUCUUUAUUUGGUCCAAUGCCAAAAGGGUAAGGGAUGCUGACAUUAAUUCCGCAGUGCGUCAUGCAAUUAAGCUUUGCUAUAGGCGGAGCUAAUACUGAUGAUGACGCUGGUUUGGUUUCGGUAACUAUGCUGCACCAAAACAACAAAACGAACAGGAUCACAUGAUGAUGACCUAGCAAUUGCAUUGACAUUAUUAAUUCCCCUUCCUCCUCUUUCUCUCUAUAUAUGAUUCUGACCUUAGUUGGUUACUAACUAUGUAGAUUACAUGGAGCGUUUUUGUUGAGAAGGUACCUUUGAUAUAGGGUUCGGGAGUUUCCAAAGGAUAAAAAAUUAGGCAAUAACAACUUGACAAAUCAUCUGUCUGUCUAUAAUUUAAUGUAUUUAUUAAUAUUAAAUCAUGUGUCUGUCUGUAAUAUAAUGUAUUAAUUAAUAUUGUAGCUGCCAUACUUGACUGAUAACAUAUAUAUAUAUAUAUAUAUAUAUGGACUAGGAACACAUAUCAACUUGGUAUUACCUUGGACUUAGUCCCAUUGCGAAUUAUGAUGUUACAUGUCUUUCAAAUUAAUCAGAAAGUCACGUUAAUUCGUUUUAUUGUUUUUUUCUUUGGGGGUCAGCCCUAAAUCUCAGUUACACCAGAAUCUCUAGCAAAGAGAAACUCUCAUGUAUCUCUGGCCAGUAACACAAUAACAUGUAGGAUCAUUUUUUCACGUGUUAUUGUGUUAUAGAUCGGAGAUAGCAAAACAGUGAUAUUCCCGUUACAUAUAAUUUUUUUUGUUGCUAGCAAGGUGACCUGAACUCUCUAAUGCACACUGACAUGCCCUUGCCACAUGCUUUAUCUGCAGCCAAAAAAAUAAUAAUAAUCCUCCUGCUCUAACCAUAUAAUUGCCUGUAGAAGAUACUUGUGGAGGAGAAGUGCUUAUUCUUUAAUUUUAUUGUGUGGAAAAUCAGUCAUCUAAUCAAUUUAUAGUAGAAAUUUAAUAGCGCAAAAGUAAAAGGGUAACAAAUCAAAUUUUGAAUAAAUGGGGGACUGACAGGGACGGCUUGUAGGACAUUGCUUUGUCAUUUCUCAAUUAUUUCUUAUUAAGAAUACGAAGAAAGGUGACUUAGAACCAAUAAUUCAUUAUUUAAUGAAUUUUUCCGUUCUAAUUAUCAAAGCUGUUCCUAUUAGUAAUCUCCUAGCUUAAACUUUCUGAUUAGUUUGACAGGGACGUUGCCAAUAUCGUCAUUGCCUUGAAAUUGCUCCUUCGUUCCUCGAAAUAAUUUAGUAACCUCCUAACUUGGACUUCCUAACUAGUUUACUAAAGUUAAUAUAGACUAACUAGACUUUAAUAUCAUUCAUGAAAGAAAUAUGACAAGGACGUCACUGGCGCUCCUAAGACUAGGUCCGCAGCAUCACCAUCGUCACCCUAAAUAGUCACAAUAAUCGCCACAUGCGUAUAAUUAACUGUAGAAGAUACUUGUGGAGGAAAUACUUAUUCUUUAAUUUAAUUGUGUGGAAAAUCAGUCAUCUAAUCAAUUUAUUGUAGAAAUUUAAUAGAGCAAAAGUAAAAGGGUAACAAAUCAAAUUUUGAUUAAAUGGGGGGACUGAUAGGAACGGCUUCUAGGACAUUGCUUUGAAAUUUAUCGUUCAUCUCUCAUAAUUCAUUUAAUAAUCUCCUAGCUUAGACUCUUUGAUUAGUUUGACCGGGAGUGGCCAAUAUCCUCAUUGCUUGAAAUUGCUCCUUCAUUCCUCAAAAUAAUUUAUGGCCUGUUUGGUAUUCAAUUUGAAUCCAACUUUUUAAACUCAAAAACAGAAUUUGCGUCCAAAACAAAGAAAACCUAUUUGGAAGCCCUAUUUUUAAAAACUCAAACUCAAGAACAACUAAAAAGCACCCCAAUUAUUAAAAAACAAAAAAUAUCAGUUUUUUCAGUUUUUUUCUAACAACCCACAAGUUCUCAAAAUUUUAAGAUUUGAAAAUUGUUUUCAAGUUGCAUACCAAACACGUUUUUUAAUCUUAAAAAUAGAUUUAAGAACUCCUUAUUUUUAAGAAAAAUCAAAGUUUUUGAGUUCCCUAUUUAAAUAGGAUAUCAAACGCCCCCUUAGUAACCUUCUAGCUAGCUUAGAAUUCCUAAUUAUUUAUUGAGGGCCUGUUUGAUAACCAUUUCUUUUUUUUUUUUUCUUUUUUCUUUUUUAUGCUAGAGUAUAUAGAGAAAAAUAAGAGUGAGAAUGGGAGUUAGGAUGAGACUGAGAGAGAGAAUGAAGAUAACACCCUUUCAAUCUCUCAUUCUCUCUCAAAUAGAUUUAGGAAGUGAAAAAAAUUUCAAAUAGAUUUCAAAUUUUAGUUUUUAUUUUCAUUUUUGUUAACGUAGACUAACUAUAUAAUAUCAUUUGUGAAAGAAAUAUGACAGGGACGUCACUGACACAACUAGGACUAGGUCCGCGGCAAAAACUACCAGCGUCACCCUAAAUAGUCACAAUAAUCACCAGUUAUAUUUUAGCAUCACGCCAUGGAUUGAUAUAUACUGAACUUAUCUAACUAUUAAAUUGAUUCUAGUCGAAAUACUAAAGUUAAUGUAUGAUCUGGAACGAUGGAUUAAUCUAUAACUAAAUCUAAAAUUUGAUCUAGGGCUAUUUUUUUUACUUUUCGUGGAAAAGUCUUUAAAGGGGACAUUGGUUUGUUGCUAGAUUCAAGCUCUUAGGGCUAUGAUUUGGGAAGUACCAUAGUCGUGAUUAUCUUUUGUAUCUUAUUUAUAUGGAGGAGUACCGUAAUCAUGAUUAUCUAUUGCAAACAUAUAUUGAGUCUGAAUAUGAAAGUGAUUAUUAGAGCCUUUCGACUUUUAUUAAUAAUAUAUCUAUCGUUUGACUUGGCUAAAGUAAAUAAAAUGAAAUAUAAAAUGAUUAUUAUAUUGGUAGUUUGUCAAUGACACAAUAAUUAAGCUUGGUGGUUCGUCUACUUUGUGGGUAGAUUCGGUGUAGCUGCGAUGCUUUCAUUUGACCAAGUCUUCUAAAACCAUCAAUUAAUGUUUGUCUUCGUAACUCUUCCUCGAUGAUGUUUACUCGACUAAGAAUGGGACUUUCCACAUAGGGCUAGGUAUUUAUAAUAAAAUUGUAGUUAUAAUAAAGAAUAUUAUACAGAAUUUUAGCUUUUGUAUAGAAUUUUGGUGUGGGAAGUAAAAAAUAUGGCUAGAUAUUUACAAUUAAAAAAAAUCUGAAUUUUUUAGUUUUUUUUUUUCAAUUUUUUAGUUAUUUAAAUUGAUUGCUGACGUCAUUAUGGCAUCAGCAUUGCGUCAUUUUACCCAAGCAAAAGUAUGGGCUGGACUUGCCUGUGGGCUUGCGCCUUGCUCAGGCUUGGCCUUGCCCGCUAGAGACGUUCGUGGACUUAGGCCCUGUCCUGUCCGGGCAAAAGGCCUUGCGGUGGACUUGCUCUAAGAAACACAACAGAGGGUCUCUUCAUACAAAUUCCUGUGUCAUACGAAUGAUCUCCCUCCCUGCACAGGAUAGGACUGAAAUUUCAUAAAUAACUCAGAAACCAUUUUGCUCAACAAGGAAUACAUGGUUGUAAUCAACUAAUACUCUGUCCUUUCCACUAAUUUACUCUGAUUAUUCAGAUUAUUUAUAGUCGUAUAUAGUAGCAUGCAUACCUUACAGAACGUAUCAUAAUCCCAAACAACAUAUAAUGUUGUACAGCAUCAAAUUAAAAUGGAUCACAAUUGUGGAAACUCAUCUAAUGGUGAACUUGGCCCAACAUUAGAGGCUGACUCUCCCAGUGCUCAUUUAUGUCACUUACAGCAGAUUCAACCCCGUUGUAAUUCUGUGGAACAUUACAAGUGUUUUCAAUCAACAUUUGAAUGGCCUCCAACUCCGUCGCGACCUCUCUCAUUGUGGGGCGAUUCCUUCCAUUCAAAUUCAAGCAUCUCAUUGCAAGGUUAGCAAAAGUUAUGAUAUCUGUUUGGGAGCCCAAAUCAAAACCCCAGCAUCAAGAAAGCCAAAUAGACGAUCUUCCUGCAUCGAAGUAAUGAAAUAAGUGGCAAGACUUUUGUAUUCAUUUCCUUGUGACCCUGUUACUGCAGAAACUGGUUGUAGACCAGUCAAGAGCUCAACAAGGACAACUCCGAAACUAUAGACGUCACUUUUCUCUGUAAAUUGGCUUGAUUGGCAGUAUUCCGGGUCCAAGUAACCAAAUGUGCCAUGUACAACUGUGGUCAAGUGAGUCUAGCCAAUCACAAUUGAUCUUGAACUGCCAAAGUCAGCAACUUUGCUCUGUAUUUCUGAUCCAAGAGUAUGUUGGUAGACUUUGAUGGGUUUCCCUCGUUAGUGGAGGAGAAAAAAAGAAGGAAAAUAAAUAUUAAAAUAAAAUAAAAGAAAUGACGGGAAAAUUUGAAGAAAACGAACGGAAGAGAAAAUGAGAAAAACUCUCUCGCAUGCAAGGCCACCAAUUUGUCAAGAACGUUGGCUAUAAAAGCAGCUGCCUUCCUUCAGUUCAAAUCAUCCUUUAGAAAACCAAAACAUAGAGAGUUUUGAGAGAUAAGAAAACCUCACUUGUGUGAGAAAGAAAAUCCUCUUGAGAGAAAAACCAAGAGAGAGUUUAGCCACCGGUGUUUGGUGAGAUUAUUUUUGUAUUCCCAUUAUUUUUCUUAGUGGAAGAUAGAGUGUUAAUUUUGUCAAUUUUAUUUACACAAGACUGGGAGAAGUCAAAUCAUGGGAGUGCCAUAUUUAUUUAUUGGCUCUUUGAUUUCGCAAUCUUUCCCAACAAGUGGUAUCAGAGCUUUGGCUCAAAAAUUAUAUUCUUGUGUAAUUUAAGAUGGAGGAGUCAUCGUCAUCAUCAUCAGCAACAAUGUUAAAAUUGACUGCAUCCAAUUACUCCAUUUGGAAUCCAAGAAUGGAGGACAUCCUUUACUGCAAGGAUUUGUAUGAGCCCCUUCAGCUCCUCAAGGCGUUCUUACAUUGGACAUAGUUAAAGAUAGCAUGUUCAAUGAAGAAGCAAGGAGGAAAGAACAAGGUGUAGUAGCCGAGUCAGAAGCCCUCGUCUCAGAGUAUCGUGGAAGAACUAACAAUAGAAAAUUUCACAGGCGAGACAAGUCAAAGGGCAGGUCAAGAGAUGGCUCGAGAGGAAGGUCCAAAACAAGAAAGGACCUAGAAUGUUACCAUUGCGGCGGGAUAGGCCACAUGAAAAGAGAGUGCAGGUUGUUUAAACGAGAGCAAGAUAGAGGUAACGAAAAGAGUGAUGCCAGGCACAUGACCGCAACUACCUCUAGUGGAAAUGAGGUAAUUAUUCUAUGUGGUGAUGGCUUCGUUAAUUUGUCCUCUCAAGAUACAUGCUGGAUAGUGGACUCUGGUGCAUCAUUCCAUGUCACCUCACGGAGGGACUUCUUUACAUCUUACACCAAUGGAGAUUUUGGUAAUGUGAGGAUGAGAAAUGACAAAUUGUCCAAGAUCGUGGGAAGAGGAGAUAUUUCCCUUGAAACCAACACAAGUUGUCACUUGGUCCUCAAGGAUGUGAGAUAUGUUACAGACAUGCGUCUCAAUCUAAUCUCCACUGGAUUACUUGACGAUGAAGGAUACACCAAUGUCUUUGCUGAAGGGAAAUGGAAACUCAGCAAGAACUCUCUUGUCCUAGCACGAGGGAAGAAGGAGAACACCAUAUACAUGACACAUGCAAAAGUCAGUAAUGGGUACGUAAAUGCUCUCGCAGAAAACUCAAUCGAGUUAUGGCAUAAACGGCUCGGUCACAUGAGCGAGAAAGGCCUGCAAAUUCUAGCCAAAAGAGAGGCACUGACUAGGAUGAAGAAAGGCAUGCCUCUAAAAUCAUGCACGCAUUGCUUGGCUGGAAAGCAGCAUAGAGUUUCGUUUCAACAUGGUCAUACACAAAGAAAACCCAAUGUAUUGGAUGUUGUGUACUCUGAUGUUUGUGGUCCUAUGACCACUAGUACUCUUGGUGGUGCAAGAUAUUUUGUUUCCUUCAUUGACGAUCAUUACAGAAAGGUAUGGGCUUACGCACUUAGAACAAAAGAUCAAGUGUAUGAAGUUUUCAAGCAGUUUCAUGCUAGCGUUGAACGAGAGACUGGUAGAAGCUUCAAAUGUAUUCGCACCGAUAACGGAGGAGAAUAUAUAGGGGCGUUUAGAAACUAUUGUAGAAGUAAUGGAAUCAGGCAUGAAAGAUCUGUUCUGAAGACUCCUCAGCAUAAUGGCAUAGCUGAGAGAAUGAACAGAACAAUUAUUGAAAGAAUAAGAACAAUGUUAUCUCAUGUCAAGCUGCCCAAAAGUUUUUGGGGUGAAGCCCUGAUGACUGCAGUUGAUCUAAUCAACUUUUCUCCUUCAGCACCUUUGAAUGGUGAUAUCCCGAACAAGUUCUGGUCGGGAAAAGACGUUUCCUACAAUCAUCUGAAAGUUUUUGGUUGUAGAGCUUUUGUUCAUAUUCCUAAAGACGAGAGAUCCAAGCUCGACGCAAAGUCGAACGAAUGUAUCUUCGUGGGAUAUGGGAAUGAAGAAUUCAGUUACAGGUUAUGGGAUCCUGUAGCUAGAAAGAUUAUUAAAAGUAGAGAUGUUGUCUUCUUUGAAGAUCAGAACAUUGAAGACAUUCGAAGAGGUGAUAAACCUAAUAAUCCUAGAGAAUAUCCAGCUAACUUAGAUCCAGUUCCUUCCCCAUUGGAGCACAAUGACGAGCGAGAUGAAUCCAAUGAUACUGAUGAUCUAGCUAGUGAUCCUAUUAUAAAUGAACCAGUUGAUGGUGACAUGAGUGAUGGUCAUACAACUGAUGGUAUAAUAGAUGAUGCAGCGGAUGAAGGGCUAGAAGCACAAGCCGAUGAAGAGCCAGAGGCUGAAUUCGAACCAAGAAGAUCGACCAGGGUACGGAGACCUCCGAGUAGGUAUUCUCUAGAUGAUUACGUUCUCCUAACAGACGAAGGAGAACCAGAAUGCUAUAAAGAAGCAUUGACUCAUGAUCAACAAGAUGAGUGGUUGAAAGCCAUGCAUGAAGAGAUGCAAUCUCUGCAUGAGAACCACACAUAUGAUCUAGUGAACCUACCAAAAGGUAUAAGAGCACUCAAGAACAAAUUGGUGUAUCGACUGAAGACGGAAGAAAAUAACUCUAAGCCCAGGUUUAAGGCAAGGCUAGUUGUGAAAGGUUUCAGUCAGAAGAAAGGAAUUGACUUUGAAGAGAAUUUCUCACCCGUAGUGAAGAUGUCAUCCAUACGGGUUGUACUCGGUUUGGCUGCAAGCCUGAAUCUCGAGAUCGAACAGCUAGAUGUGAAGACAGCUUUUCUUCACGGAGAUCUUGAAGAAGAAAUAUACAUGGAGCAGCCAGAAGGAUUCAAAGUCAAAGGAAAAGAAGAUUUGGUAUGUUGGCUGAAGAAGAGCUUAUAUGGACUCAAGCAGGCACCUCGACAAUGGUACAAGAAGUUUGAUUCCUUCAUGAUUGAACACAGAUAUCGAAGGACUACUUCAGACCAUUGUGUGUUUGUGAAAAGAUUUGAUGAUGGUGAAUUCAUCAUACUUCUUCUCUAUGUCGAUGACAUGUUGAUCAUAGGACAAAACAAUGACAAGAUUAGCAAGCUGAAGAAAGAGUUGAGCAAGUCUUUUGCUAUGAAAGACUUAGGACCCGCAAAACGAAUCCUCGGUAUGAGUAUAUCCCGUGAUAUAAACAAUCGGAAGUUGAGGUUAUCACAAGAAAGUUAUAUCGAGAAGGUACUAAAGCGGUUUAACAUGGAUAAAGCAAAACCAGUUUCUACUCCAUUUCCUAGUCACUUCAAGCUUAGUUCAAAGCAGAGCCCCACAUGUAAGAAAGAAAAAGAAAACAUGGCUAUGGUGCCAUAUUCCUCGGCUGUUGGUAGUCUGAUAUAUGCAAUGAUUUACACGAGGCCAGACAUAACGCACGCAGUUGGCGUUGUAAGCAGAUUCCUGUCUAAACCAGGCAGAGAGCAUUGGAAUGCUGUGAAGUGGAUUCUCAGAUAUCUCAGGGGUACUUCCAAAAUGAGUUUGUGCUUUGGAGGUGGAAAACCUGAAUUGAUUGGCUACACAGAUGCAGACAUGGCAGGAGAUCUUGAUUCCAGAAAAUCUACUUCAGGAUACCUGAUUACAUUUUCAGGGGGAGCAGUUUUGUGGCAAUCAAAGUUACAGAAAUGUGUUGCUCUAUCAACUAUAGAGGCAAAGUUUAUUGCAGCUACUGAAGCAUGCAAAGAAAUGCUUUGGAUGAAGCGAUUCCUACAAGAAUUAGGGCAAGAGCAGCAUAAAUACAUUUUGCAUUGCGAUUCACUUGAGCAAGAAUCCGAGUUUUCACUCGAGGUCGAAGCACAUUGAUGUGCGAUAUCACUGGAUACGUGAUGUGUUGGAGUCAAAGCAAUUACAGCUUGAGAAAAUCCAUACUGAUGACAAUAGUUCAGAUAUGAUGACCAAGUCCUUACCUAAGGACAAAUAUGAAUUUUGCAAAAGAGCAGCUGGACUACUGGAGCCCUCCACCUAAGUCGGGAGGGGGAGAUUGAUAGGUUUCCCUCGUUAGUGGAGGAGAGAAAAAGAAGGAAAAUAAAUAUUAAAAUAAAAUAAAAUAAAGGACGGGAAAAUUUGAAGAAAACGAACGGAAGAGAAAAUGAGAAAAACUCUCUCGCAUACAAGGCCACCAAUUUAUCAGGAACGUUGGCUAUAAAAGCAGCUGCCUUCCUUCAGUUCAAAUCAUCCUUUAGAAAACCAAAACAUAGAGAGUUUUGAGAGAUAAGAAAACCUCACUUGUGUGAGAGAGAAAAUCCUCUUGAGAGAAAAACUAAGAGAGAGUUUAGCCACCGGUGUUUGGUGAGAUUAUUUUUGUAUUCCCAUUAUUUUUCUUAGUGGAAGAUAGAGUGUUAAUUUUGUCCAUUUUAUUUACACAAGGCUGGGAGAAGUCAGAUCCUGGAAGUGCCAUAUUUAUUUAUUGGCUCUUUAAUUUCGCAAUCUUUCCCAACAGACUUGAUGUCUCUAUAAAUAGGAAAGGAAGCUGCACCAUGCAAGUAAGAUAGAGCUCCUGCAAUUUCUGUGGCAAUUCGUAACCGCAUUUUCCAUGUAAGUGGAAAGUCUUCAUUCUGCUUAUGAAUAUAAUGGGAAAGGGUUCCAUUCGGUAUGACUUCGUAAACCAAGAGUGGAACUUCAGUCUCUAAACAACAACCUAAUGAUCGAACCACAUUUCUGUGAUUGAUUUGUGAAAGAAUCACAACCUCAUUGAUGAAUUCUGAAAGUUGGCCUUCAUCCAGUAUGUUGGACUUCUUUACCGCAAUGAUUCUUCCAUCUGCGAACAUUCCUUUGUAGACGGUACCUUGGCCUCCCUGACCAAGAAUUCUAUCAGUGUUGUAUUUGUCAGUGGACUUCUCCAACUCCUCUGAUUUGAACAACUUGAUUUUCUCAACAUUUUAUGAUAAUUGUUGUUGUAACAAUAAACCACUGUUUCGUUUGAAAAACCUUUCCUUGAGUUCGAUGUUUUUCCUUUUCUUUAUGACUUUGUAUGCAUACCAUGCACCAACGAGUAGUAACAAUAGUCCAGGACCCAUGAAAAGACCUGCAUAUAUACUUCAACUUAUUCAUACCGUACCACAUCUGUAAUAUAUAAAAAAUUAUAUAUCAAGCAAUUCGCAGGAUUGGGAGCCACAACAUUCUCCAGUACAGUGAAAUCUAAAUGCCAUUAGACUAAAGGUCAAUUAUUGGCAACGACUUUUUUUCUUUAGAAAUUCGAAAAUUGAUCAUCUCUGUCUGUAUGAAGAAAUAACAAAAGUAUAAUGAACUCUGAAUAGGAGCAUACCUAAAAGAAUGGUUCUGAUUCGAUGUCAUAGGAUCUCGAAGUAGCAUUCCCAAUUAGCUUCACCAUAAUACACACAUGUACUUCUUGUUACAUUUGAGUAGCAUUUAUAACCACCAACGAAAUUCUCACAUAUAGAACUGCCUCCGAACUCCCUUAAAGGCUAGCAGAUCAUUACACUGAUUAAGGCCCUUGCAUUCAUCAAUAUCUGAAAUGUAAUAACAGAAAGGCAAAUGAACAAGAUGGUGAAUGGUGAAGUUUGGUAAUUCCAGAAUGAAAAGUUAGCUAUAUAUUCAAUUUGUAUUUAUUUUUUUAAAGAGGGUUUAAAUUUAAUUAACUACGUACCUUGAUAAGGGUGGAGAAGAUAAGGAUUUCCUUCAAAGCCCGCCGGACAGAAACAGUGAAGGCUUGACUGAUUGUAUGUGGAAGAAGUAGUGGAAUUGUAUAUUUCACAAUAGGGUGUUGAGUCAAUAAUAUAGUUCCGUUCAAAAUCAUAAUAAUCUGGCUCUGUUCCAAUAAAUCCUUUAAAGGAUCUGAGUGAAGUAUUAUCUAAGCUGAUCUUCCAAUCUAGCACCACAGGUACGCUGUCCAUGCCCUGGAUAGCUCUAUAACUUGAUAAAUUGUUCACAAACCAAUCUUGGUCAACAAGAAAUGCAUAGCCGCAACCACCAUUUUGAUAUCUUCCUUGUGUUUCAGUAGUGAAAACACUGAGAUUUGGAGGAAUGUUAGUCUGGAUUUUGGUAUCACAGCGAUUAGUAUUGUUUGUACUCCAAUCACAAGUUGAUUCGCAUCCGUGAAAAACAUGCUUUUCUGAUCUCACAGUGGCAAGGUGACCGCAAGUCACAGCUGUGAAAAUAUUGUAUGUCUCCGAGUAUAGGAAGGGGCUUCCAGUCAAAUUUGGAGCUUGGCGAGUUUCCUUUCCCUUGCAGCUGAAGAAAGUAACAGGGUACUUAAACUGAAGCAUGCCUUCGAUAGAAAUGCUCAGCACCUCCAGCUGGGCCAGCCUCAGGAAUGGCUUGUCCCCCAGUAGAUUUGCUGCAUUCUAGUUGAAACUAACAAUCUUUAUUUGGUCCAAUCCCAAAAGGGUAUGGGAUGCUUACAUUUCCUCAGUGCGUUCUGCAAUUAGGCUUUGCUAUCACCGGCGCUGCAAAUUUUGAUGAGGUCAGUGUAGUACUAGUGGUUGUUAUGUGCCAUAACAAUAGAAGAAUGAAUAUCAUAUGUUGAACUUGCAAUUGCAUUCUUGCCAUAAUUAUUCCUCUUCUUUUUCUGAUAUCUCAUCUUAGUUUUGUGAGAAGUACAUACUACAUAUAGGGAGUCUGCAAAUAAAAAACCGAAGUUAGGCAACAAAGUGAAAAUUGUUUGUGUGUAAUGGUGCCAUAAAAGAUAACUCAAAAGAUUUCGUCUAUAUAAUAUAAAGCUAAUACAACAAAUUCAAAAAAGUAAAUGAAAAUACAAUGAAGUCGACUUAGUCAUCAUUACACGCUCAGUACUUUCUUUAUUUCCUGUUCCUUUAACAAUUGCAGAAAGUUCAAAGUCUUCUUUGAUUCUUUAAAGUGAUUAAUAUUUAUAUUUAUCAACUUUACCCAACUCUCUGCUUUUUUUCUUCUCCUUUACCUGAGUGUACUUAGAGAAGAGGGGGAGUGUUCGACCCACUUUUCCAAUGUGGUGCCACCCAUAUGCGACUCUCUGUUUUUCAAUGACAUAAUUAUCACAAGUUUGUUCUACUAUUAUAAAGUUAUGCAAUAAUGUAUGGUGUCACGUAGACUAUCAAAAAUUAUUAUGACAAAUUUAAAAUAACAUUAUGUAACACUAUUAUUACUCUAAACUUAAAAAUCUUUAUUAUCUAUGAUUAAGAGAAAAGCUCUAGUGCAUGUAAUAGCAAUCACUCAAAUCUAGAGGGAAAGGGAUUCGAACUCUAAUCUAGAGCGAUCACACUACUAUUACUCUAAACUUAGCAAUCUUUAUUAUUUAUCAUAGACUUCAUAACCAAUUGACCUAUUACACACUAAAGUGCCAUGAGAAUUUGAACUUGAGACCAGUGGUCUGCAAGUGACCCUUUACCACUGGUCUUUACCCAUUGGUUUAAAUAUUAUAUUUAAAUGAACAUUGCUCCACCGUCCAUAAUCAGGUUAACCCUAGGGCCUCAAACAACACUUUACAUGAAGAAUACUACCAUAAAUAUACCCAUAAAUAUUUGUUUGAAAUUUGCAAAAUCACCAUCUUGCAUUUUUGUUACAAGUAAAAAGUAAUCUUUGCCUCUUACAUUCUUUCAUAGUUAAUAAAAUAUGGAACGGAAAAAGUAUGUAUUUUAUUCGGCAAAAUUUUAUGAAAUUAUAACUGAAAAGUUGGGCCACUAUAUAAUAUUUUAAUAUAAUUUAUUUAAAUUUUUUAACAUAUAUUAUUUUUAUUUAAUAACAUGUGAAAAUUAUGUGUAUAAUACGUGAAUUUUGUGUGUAUUCUUGAAAUUUUUGUAAAAAACACGUGUAUUAAACAUGAAAAAUAUGUGUAUUAAAAAAAAUGUAGUUUAUCGAUUUAAGACGUGUACAAAAGAUGGAUGUAUUAUUGAAAAAUAUGUACAUACAUACAUGUAUAAUACGAGUAUUAAAUGUGAAAAUGCUAAAAUUCUUUACAUGGGUAAUACUCUAGUAAAGUAAAAAAAUCAAAGGGUACAAUAGAGACUCGGGUAUUGGCCUAAUAAUAACGGAUAAUGCUCUAAACUACUAUUACCAAUAAAAGAAAAUCGAGAAAUUUUUUUUUUUUUAAAGAUCCUAGUAUAUAUAAAGUAUAGCCGCUUGGCUAUUACUAUUUAAUAAAUUAAAAAAAUUAAAAGAAAACCUUAGUACAGCAGCGUGGCUAUACGAUUUUUUUUUUUAAAACAAAUACCCGAGUAUAAACGAGUGUGAAAACAAGUAUAGCUGCACAGUAAUACUAUUUUAUAAAUAAAAAACCUAAAUAUCGCCGCAUGGCUAUACUAUUCAGUAUUAAAAAAAAAGGUGACCCACGUGUCAAAAAAGGUAUAGUCACGCAGCUAUCCUAUUUUAUUUUAUUUUUAAGAAAUGCCGUAGUAUAGCCUCGUGGUAUACAAUUUAAAUAUAUUAUACUUAAACGUUAUAGGGGCGCGGCUAUAUUUUUUAAAAUUAAAAAUUAAAAAAAUACCCAAGUAUCGCCGCACAGCUGCACUAUUUAAUAUAAAAAAGAACAUCAAAAAUGGUAUAGCCGCGCAGCUAUACUCAGGUAUUGAUUUUUUUAAUCGUAUAGCCGUUCGGCUAUACUAUUUAGUAUUAAAAAAAGGUGACCCACAUGUCAAAAAAUGAAUAGCCGCGCGGCUAUACUAUGUUUUUACAAAGAAAUGCCAUAGUAUAGCCGCACGGUAUAUUAUUUAAAAUAAUAAUAAUAAUAAUAAUAAUAAAUACCCACAUAUAGCCGCGCGGCUAUACUAUUUAUGAAAAAAAAAAAAAAAAAAAAAAAAGAGGACCCGCCUAGCGAUUAGUGCUCAUGUGUGAAAACAAGUAUAGCCACGCAGCUAUACUAUUUUUUUUUUAAUAAAAAACAGUAGGCAAGUGGUGCGGCUAUACUAUUUAAAAAAUAUAAAAAAAGACCCUCCUAGUUGCAUUAGUUUAUACUUUACAUAUAUUAAUUUGCUAGUUUCAACAUAUUCAAAGCAGAUAUUGAAGAGAGAAAUUUCACAGUAAAUCAAUCUGAGAGUUCAAUUUUUAAUCCUUCUUUUUUUGUGGGAAUGUUUACUUUUGAUCUAACACGUUAUCUCGAGUGAAAUUUGUUGGAGGAACAACAUUCAGUAUUAUUCUAACUAGCCUCUCUGCACGCGCUUCCGCGCUUGCGAGAUGUUUUUUCAAAAAAAAUAAGUAAAUUUAUUUUAGAAUUAAAAAAGAUAAUGGGUAGUUGUGUUCCAUAAAAAUAGGAUCCAUUAUCUGCUUUUUCUUUUUCUUUUAAUUUUUUUAAAUAUGAAAAAGUGUGAAUUUACCAUAUUAUCCUCAUUUAAUUAAUAAUUUGAAUUCUUAAUGUUUGCAUUAACCAAGAGCAUUUUCUGGUAUUUUGAAUGUUUCACCAUUCUCUGCCUUUUGCUUUAUAUAUAUAGAUAAUUAAAUUAAACGAUUAAAUUAAACAACAAGUAGAAUAACCUUCCCUUCUCUGUAUAUUUGAUCUUGGUUGGUUAGUAUUAACUAUAGUUUGCAUUGAGCGUUUUUGUUGAGAAGGUACGCGCGUAUAUAUGGACCCAGCUCCUCUAGUUGUAAAGCAAUGCAUUCACACAUGUGCCACAACACAAGCAAGAGUCAAAACAAAAGUAACAACUCAACUCGGCAUUACCUCAAACUAAUUGACAAUGUGAACUACGAUGUUUCAUGUCUACCAAGUCAAGCAGAAGUCACAUUAAUUCGUCUGUUCUUUUUUCUAUUAGUGAGACUUUGCGAAAUGAAACCGUUCCAGUUACGCACCAGAAUCUGCUAGCAAGGUAAUUGGCUUCAACUCUGAAGUCAUUAGUAUGCCCCACGAGGUACAUGCAGCCAAAAACCAACUAGAAGUCACAUUAAUUACAGAACAUUAAUGUGACAAAAGAUGAGCAUCAUUGUAUCAAUACCAUCAUGCAUCAAACUUUUGAUUAUAUAUCAAAUAAAGAGGAUCUUUAAUUUAUCCUAAUCCUAUCUCAUUUCUCGUCCAUCUGUCGCCCGUCUGUCGCGUCUGCCGCAUCUGUCAGUGGGUGGCUGGCAAGGAAGCAUUAUCCCCUUGAAAUCUAAUAAAAGUAGCAACCUUGAAAACACAUUCACAAUCAAGCAUUUGUUUGGCAACAUGAGUCGCACAAGAGAGCAUUCUCUACAUAUGCACACAUACUACAUGCAUGCAGCCGGUGAAAAUGCACAAAUGCAAUGACCAGAGUUAAACCAAUAAGGUACUUUCGGCCAUGAAUGAAAGCGUACAGAAUUUAAUCGAAACUUAAGAUUGUCAACAUAGUAAUGGAACAGGUUGGCACUUGAACAGUCUGAUUAAUGAUACAAGUGAGUGCUUAAUUUCAUUUAAUAAUAAAUUACAAGACAAGAUAGCAUAGAAAGUGCUAUCGGACUCGGACAUCAAGCAAUCUCUCUUUAGGGUGCGUGUUGUUCUACGUGCUGUAGUGGUAGUUUCAGAAACAAGAUUCCUUCCUACUAUAAUUUACAGUAUAUAAUUAUAAGCUGACAUGCAAGCUUCAAAUAGACUUAGCCCAAAGCAGUACAUCUCCACCGACCACAGAAAAGGGUAAAAGAAUGCUAACAAUUCCUUUUUACGAACAACACUACUAGCAUAGUUAAAACACUCAUCAUUCGCAGCCAAUUUUUAAUUUUCCAUUUUUAGCAAAGCACUGGCCUUUUAGUAGUCCAGUGAGCCCAACGAUGCAAUCCCAUUGGUAGAGUUUCUCACGUCUUGUCGACUCACGUAGUCAUCGCAGGUGGUGUUGCCACCAUUGGAAAGCUUAUUGCUUGGGACAGAAGCCGCACAAUUGAGGCCUUCCUUUCCCAUCUGUUGCACUUCAAGUGGCGAGAGUAUCUUGAUAUACCACACAUUGUUCACAAACUCCCUGAAUAUAAGAGAAGAAUCAUUUACUUCAACUGAAUCAUGAAAAAAAUACAGUUCAAAACUUCAGAAGACUACUGUUUAAGGCUCAGGGAUGUACACAUGCAAAAUAGUAACUUAAAACUCUUGAAAAAGUGAGAAAACAGUCAACGAUUUAAAAUGGCUUAAGCUACUCCUACAACACUUUAAACCUCAAGGCGUUUUCUAAACAUUACCGCUGUUUCUGUCCACAAAUUUGGGAUACCAGCUCCUACACUUUUAACAAUUUGACAUACAGAAUAAAAUCAUUACAGUAGCUACUUCGAAAACAUUAAACUUGCGCCCAGUAAUCCAGGAUGAACCAUUUUACAAAAAACAGUAAUAACUGAAACGCAUGGGAAGCUCGAAUUUCAGAAUUGCCAAUGCAAACAGAGUGUAUAAUAAUUGAGUAUAAGUGAAAUGAUGAAAUACAAUUUGGGACUUACUGCCAAGGGUCGUCGCCAAGGAGAAGAACAUCAUUCUCCCGGUCACCAAAUACAAGCUGCCAGCCUGAUCUCUGAGGGUCCUCUAAUUGGCCUUCAAGGCCAAACAUACGAGCGAGCUCACUGCGCAGCUCAUCAUAGCUGCUGAAUUUUGAAAUAUCCAGUGACCUCCCAAAGGACCCUGACUUGUGAACCUACCAAAUUGCAACAUUUAAUAAAAAGAAUACGAGUAACCACUCAGAAAAAGUACUAAUUCUUUUGAACAAGUAUUCACACAGAAGAAGACUUCCCAUGCAUCUGACCAUUCUGUUAAGAAUAAAAUGCUUGUAAUACACAAUCACAAUAUCUUAUCUUACCUUCACAAAGUUUCGAGUUGGAUUUACUUGGUCCACAUUUUCUGAAGACUGCAAGAAACCUGAUUCAUCUACACAACUUGAAGUAGUCAUGUCUGAAUUAAGUGGAAAAUCAUUGCCCGUGGCACUGGUGUAACUGGAAGCACCAAACGGCAUAGACAAUGAAUCAUUUCCAUUGCCAAUAUUUCUCAGGGUUGGAAUCCCAUUAUGCAGCAUAAGAGAUGAGGAAUCAAUGUUGACCCCAAACAAAAGAUUGCUUUGGGGAUCAGUACCGCCUUGGAAUGCAGAGUACUCUCUACCAGGAAACGGAGGCAAGGCAGUGAGCUCAGAGAUAUUUGACUGUGGUGUUCCCAACUGUUCCACCUGGGGUAGUACACAUUGAGCAGCUCCAGAUGAUAGCUGCUGUUCGCCUGCGAUCUGCUUGGGUAACAAGGAAGACGAAAUUACAGAGUUGGAUCCACUUAAGUCAAGUAAGUGGGAUGCUCCAUCUUGUGAUAGGGAACCUAAUAUACUAUGUAUAGGGGGAACAUCAGAUGAAGAUAUAGGAUUUCCAACAGGGUCAGGAAAGCUCUGCUGCUGAGAUUGUGAAGGGAUAGCUUGCAGAGAUGCAGACUGGGAUUGAGUGGCUGAGGCAAAAUUGGACAGAGCAGACAUGACAUUCGGGAUCUGCUGCUGAACAGACAACUGGUGCAGAUGAUGGGAUUGUUGAAGCUGCUGUUGAUGUUGCUGGUGCAGCUGCUGUUGUUGCUGGUGCUGCUGCAGCUGCUGUUGUUGCCUCUGAUCACUAUAGGGAUGGUAACGCUGCAACUGUUGUUGCAAAACCUGAGUCUGAGCAGGAGCUUGGUUUUCUUGAAAGCUCUGAAGAUAAGUAUUUUGAGAUUGAGACUGCGGUAAAACCUGUCUCUGAAGCACAGCAGCCGGCCCAUUAGAAACAUUUGAAGAUUGCUGGAAGGGCAGAAGAGACUGUGAAGCACAUUUAGAAGAAUCCACUGUCCUCAUUUCUUGAAGUGCGGCAGCUGCCAUUGCUUGGUAUACCUCAGGUUGUAGACCUGCCAUAGAAGCAUCAAGCCUCGGCUGCAUCCAGGGAGUAACCCCAAAUCCCUGAAAGUUCAAAGAUUGAAUCCCCUGAUCUCCAACCCCUCCUUGGAGCCACAUCAGUGGAGCGUUAAUGCCCAUAUCACCAUCUUUGAGCCCUGAAAUGAACAUACCACUGAGUAUUAGAGGGGGCAAAGAAAACAAUUUUUGACACAUAAGACACCAUGUGUUCCUCAAGCAUAAAAACAAAGAUACCGUGGAAAGAGGGAAUGCCCGAUGGCCAUGGUCGCUUCAGUCUCAGGGGGAAUGGGGAUGGAUACAUUGGGAAUGUUGUUAGUGGUUCAAUCUCCCACAAUGAAACUCUAGGCUGCCUCUCCCCUGCAGUGGAUUCAUCCCAGCCAACCUGCAUUAGCAGAGAACCCGUUUACAAACCUUAUGUCACCUGAAAAUGUUAAAAAAGCUGGCCACAUCUCUUUCAAAAACUUGUGAAACUUAUGCAAAAUAUUUGAAUUUUAAUGAGCAUGAAAAUCACAAAAUGCUCCCAACAAACCUUCACAGAGCGCCAAUGUGAAUUUGUCCAACGCACAGAAUCUAAAUCACUGAUACCAGUUAUUGUACCCAUGUAUCUGAAGGAAAAGAAAAACAAACAAAAAUUACCACUUAAAUAAAUGCUAAGCAUAAACUAUAUAUAUAUAACUAUGAAGAUAAUUAACCUACCGACGGACACUUGACUCUUCUGUUUCAAACAGCAUCCUAAAUCGCAUGCCCACAGAAACCCGUGUAUGAUAGACAGCUUUAACAUACUUGGCCAGGGUUAUCACAAACUCAGAUGGACUAGCCCUGCAUUAUAAGCAAAUUGAUUAAUAAGAUGUAACAAGUAGGAUCUACAAUCUAGAGAAGUAGCAGAUACUCACCUUGGAUUAUAAAAUAUUGUAAAGCGACUAUUUGUUGCGGCUGCAUGAGCUGCAGCAGCAAGAAGACCAAUGUGCAUGCUAUCACUUGACAAAACCGAUGAGGGCAUAACAGUCUGUGGACGAUUUGCUCGCCGAAUACCCAAAAGUAACUGAUUCUUUUCAUUCCUGAUUGAAGACAACAUAUUUGAAGAAAAAUUAAUAAUUACCACAAUUCUUGCCCUAAUAACUCCAACCACCCCCUUCCCCGCAGCACAUUCCCCAAAAAAAGAAAAAAGACGAGAAACAUAUUCAAUCAUGUGAAGAACAGAAUAACUGUUUAAAAUUACCAAAUAAAAAGGACUGAAUCACCAGCAACAAGUCGCUUAGCACUAACGAACACGCUCCAUCCUGUCGUGAGAAGAUGCCUCUUGGGCUGGCCUGCACAAUAGCAUGGAAAAAAGAAAUUAGAAACCAGAAUUGCGUGUUGCAGACAGUAUAUUAAAAAAAAAAACCUAGGUAAAGAAAGUACACAACAGUCUAUAAAAUCAUUGAACUCUAAACCAAGUGUCCCACAAGGCUCAUUCAUGCGUAAGCCCAAUGUGAUCAAGCUAUAUGACAGGCAGUUCUUGCCUUUCAACCACAAUGAGGGCAAGAACAACUACAGAAGAAACAAAAAAUUCAAAAACAUUUGUUGGGUCAAUAAGACCUACAACUAUUUCUUCUUAAUUUGUGAGAGACUGAGAGGGUUGAAUGGUUGUUGAUCAUCCAUGUGGUGUAACACUCUUGGUUACCCAUUCCCUUUAAUCUAAUUUCUUGCUACAGUUCAAUUAUUUUCUCUAGACAGCUGCAACUUUUUGAAUAGCUCACUGAAGCAGAAGAAGAAAAAAAAAACCUCAAAAAGGAGGGUGCAUGCUAUUGCUAUCCUAACCCCAGAAUAAUGGUUAAGUUACUCAGGAGAACAGAAAUCAAACUUGCCAUAAAAUAUAUGACCCAAGGGCAGCCAAAUUUAAUAAUUGGCAACAUUUACAUAAUCCAGGACAUAAAAAAAGUUGUUACAUUGUCUGGUUGCUUGGACCGCUCUACCUUUUGAUUAUUAUAUGUUUAGGCAGAUUCAAAGACAGGGCUACUUUAUUUCAUUAUUUGUUUGCCACAUCCUCACUGGGGUCUUUAGGCAAUUACUAUAGCAGGUAGGUUUAGGAAUUACAGAUUUUUAAGUUCAAGUAAUCAAUAAAUUUUUUAAUUUUUUAAUGAGAUAUUGCUCAUGCCAUUAAAAAUACAAUUUCUCCAAAUCUUUCACUUUUGACAUUUAGAACAGCAAGUGUGCGAACUGUCUAGUAUACUUGCACUCAGUGGUCUUAAUUUUGCAUCUAAGCUAGAGGUGCAGACUUGAAGAAUAAUAAAGAGUAAUGAAAGCAGAUAUAAAACAGAAUUCUGAACAAAUUCACACUCACCUCGAAAUAUAUGUCUGAAUUUCCACUCAUUAUCAUGAAGAUCCCUUGCAAUUAGUUCCUGAGCUGGGGGCUGCUGUGAGUAAUCCUGAAGGUACAGUAAAAAAUUAAAUUAUUGAAACCAAUUUCAUGAGAUGAAAACACAGAAAAUCAAACAUGAUGCUCAGGCCACUCAAAAAAGAGGAAACCUACAAGAGGAGGAAAGACUUUUUCAGCUGCACGGCGGGGAACAGAGAAUCCUCCAUGCGUGCUAGUAUCACUUGCAGUCAAAGUUUUACAAAAAUAGUUGGUUGGCUGUUUGCUGGCAGCACCCAACUCCGCAGGCAGUAGGUAUACAUCUUUUUGCUCUUGCUACAAAACAGUUUAUGUUAAUACAUGAUGAAAAUUACUUGACUCACAAAGUCACAAGUCAAAAACAGAAAAGUACAGUACCGGACUUAAUGGUUGUAGGGUCAUUUGAGCAUAUACUUCAUCAGUCUCCACAUCUGCCUGUACCAUACAAAAUUUAAAAAAAUUAAGGAGCAUCCCGUGAAAUGGCACAGAGAAGAUGCAAGCCGGCUGACACUUACAUGCAUUGUCACAUUAUGCAGCUGACAUAUUAGUUGUGGAGGCAAGUUGGGGUAAUUUGGAAUAUGGGCAUCCACUUCCUUAUUGGUUGAUGCAGCAACCUGUACAAGAAAUAUCAAGAAUUAAAAACAAUUACUGAAUACCCUCUCAAAAACUAGUGUUCAGGACGUUGUGGUUAAUAGAUAUUAGAAGCUUCAGCUGCUUAAGCACACAACAAUCGUACUCAUAAGUUUUGGAUUAUAUUAAAGUAAUUGAUGUAAUGAUAUGUAUAAAAUGAAUAAGAGACAAAGUUAUAACUAGACACUAUGUAAAUACCAAAGAAGUAAAAAGAAAACCUUCAACCCAUCCUUUAUUUUUUAUUUUUUUCUAUAGGAGUAAUUGAACAUACAUCUAUAAUUACACAGCCUACAUUUCAAACUUAUUAGACAAAAAUAAGACAAUAGUAACAAGAGACUUCCUUGAACCAAAGUUCCUAUUCUACAUACUGCAAACCAACCAAAUGUUUUCUCCUGAUACCAUUCAGAAGGAAAAAUCUGAAUUCAACAAUAAAUGAGAUAGCGAUCCAGUUGCUGACCUGCUCACUGUGACCCUGUGGAAAGUAGACUACACGACUUCCAAGAAGAGGCAAAGACACCAGGGGCCCCGCGCAUGCAUGCCAAAGCUCAGAAUUCAAACACUUCUUCUCCCCUGCACAUAGUUUCUAUGCUUGCAUGAGUAUGCGUGACAUGAAAUUCAUAGCAUCAAAAUCCUAACUCUUAAAUUAAUUGAAGACAGAAAUGCAAGACUAGUUUUAGUGAUAAUGGCAUGUUGUUAAUUCGUUUACAGGUGCAACCACUUCAAAUCAUAAAACCAAAUUUCCACCCAGAACCCCAUCAAGCAGUGAAUGGGCAGUUGAGAUAAUUGUAAAAUAGUAAGAUGGGUGUUUAGUCACCUUAAACUCAAUGCUCGAACAGACAAGCAACAUAUGCAGAGAAUGUGACUAUUUUUACAAUGAAUUAACUCCGGAAAGACACACACACACUGGUGAAAUGAAUAUUCACUAGGUCUGUUCAAUGACCGCUUAUUUAAGACAUGCACAUAUAACGGUCACCUUAAACGUGGCUCAAUCGUUUAGACUAAAUCCAAAACAAAAGAAGCAUAAAUGUAUGCAAGAUAAUGCCUCAGAGUCGAUUAACUAAUGCUUUUAAGGACGUAUUAAAUUUCAGACGAGAAAAAUGGAACGAGCCAAAUAAAGCACAAAAAAGUGCAUACCUUCCUGAGGCUGGUGAUUAAAACCCGAAGCCGAUGAUGAAGACGAAAGUCUCAUUUCUUCGAAAGCCCGAAAUGCAACCUCCUUUCACCACCUACUGAAACCCCCUUUAGCCCCAGUAAAACCAAACCCAACUUAAACAAAGAUUCAAAUAUCAGUCCCCUCCUUAUUCCUUGCACAUAUUAGCACCCAUUUCUGAACCCUUUCACCUCUAAAUCAUCAAAUGCAGUGAAAAGAAAGCCCCCCCCCCCCCCCCCCCCCCCCCAAGCAAAAACCAGAAAAUAUCAACUACACCUCUGGGAAAAUAUCAUCCAAAACCAGUGCCAAUACAGAAGACAACACCUCUCACCCUCAUACCCCCCAGAUCUUCUUCACCCUACCAAAACCCACCACAUUUACCCUAAUAAGAACCCUAAACCCCCAACUGACACCUCCAAGCUCAGAAAUUUAUGAACACUUGCAAGCUCCACAGAAACCCUAGACUACCCAGAUCUCAGAAAUUGAACAGUAACUUACGAGUAAGCUUGAACAGAGAAUGAGAGAACUCUUACUGAGCUGAGAGUGACAUUUUCAGAAGCACCGAUUUGACUGCCAAAAGAGCUGAGCUUUAGCUUGGUCUGCUGCUUGUGAAGCCUGAGAGAGAAAGAUAGAGAGAGAGUUCGGUUGAGAGAAGCUUUAUUGGUCUUCGUUGAGGGCUUGUUUGGUCUACGAUCAAUUAAUACAGUGGUAAUUAUUGCUGGUGGGGUAAUGUAAUGUUCAUAGGGAUGGCUGUCAGAAGCAAAUAGAAAUAGGAGGACCAAAACUCUAACUUCUCUCCCUAUUUUACCCUAGCCUUUUUCCCCUUUUUGCAAUCUUGGCCAUUACCCUCUCUCUAGGCCCUUUUUUCCUUUCUAUUUUUCUCCCCUACCAUUCAAUUUUCCCUUUAUUCCUCUUUUGGAAUUUGCCAAUCUUUUUCAUGUUGGCUUUUGGAAAAUUUUCAUUUUUAUUUCAUAAAAGGGAAAGAUGAUUUGGUUAUCAUUGGUUUCUCCAUGUGAAUUAAAUAGUUUUUAAAUUGAAGUAAGUUAAAUUACAUUUAUUGUGAACUCUGUUAUUGUUUUCUCCAUAAAGCUUUUGAUCUAACUUCCCUAAAUGUCAGUUUGGGAGACUUAAUUUGUGCAUGGUUUGAGUUGAAAUGUCUUUAAAUUUAAUAGAACGUCCCCAUGUGUGCCCACAUUUGGCAACUUCCUUGGAAGGUUUGCUGCAUUCAUUAUUAGUAGCUUCUUAUGGUUCUGGUUAUAGUUCCAUGUGUCAUCUAUCAAGCACUUACGACCUCAAUUGUCACUUCAAUCCUAGCUGCCACAAAUUAAUGUUAAAAGACUUUUGUAUUUUUCUUGUAAAUUAUAUGCAGGAGGUUUUGGUUCAUAUUGCUUCAAAAUUGUAAAUUUUAAGUCUUGUUUGAGCUCAUUCUUGUGUGUACAUGUGGAGAAAGACUUUCACGAAAUGAAAAUAGUAUUAUUUUGCUAUCUAAUCAAUAAUGCUACGACACGCUUAAUAACAUUUUCAUGUGCAAUUUAGUUCUUCUUCAUCCGUGAGAGAGAGAUCUGCAACAGAUAUUUAAAAUUUCUUAUUUCAUUAAAGGACAAUAUUAUCUCAUACAUAACAGGUAGCUUGAAUAAACUAAGUAUAGCAUGGCUUUCUAGUGAGAACCAUAUCUUGACCACAUUCAACCGAAAGCUAGGUGUAGCCGUUGAGAAGAUAGCAGCAUCUCCCAUGCUUCUCUCUUUUUUUUAACUUCCAUCUGUAGUUGCCUUGAUUUUUACUGCACACUGCAUAGAGAAACAAAAGAACAUUAGUAAUGUUCUCACAUUUCACCUCUCACGUUCUAAUCACAUGACUAAACGUAGGUGCUAAUGAGGUGAUCAUAGGGGUUGUAUACAACAGUUGUAUAUCGAUGCAGUGCAUACAAAAAUUACUUACUCGUUGCAAUUGACACUCCUAGAAAUGGGAACGUUGAUUUGGACUUUACACGCAGUGGGGAGACCAGCUGCGACGUCUUCCUUAAUGUUUUGGUAGUGAUCUGCGGUGUCCUUGAGGCAUUGGCAGGCUGCACGCCUGUCUUUGGUGGUUGAAGCGAGCUGGUUCAGACCAGAAACCCCAUUGCAACACGCUGUGGGUGGGCUACCAGUGCCACUGGUGAGAUAUGGAAUGCAGGGAGCGACAGAUGACACCACUUGUUGGCAAGUGACUGUGGCCUGCCCCGGUUUAACCAAGACCAACAUGGCCGCCACCACCACCAUCACUAAAGCUAUAACGACACCCUUCAUUUUCUUUUCUGUUUUUUGUACGUUUGAGUUUGAGAUCGAUGGAGUGCUACAAUGUUUGCUAAUUGACUUAAUGUUGAGCUUAAUUGUUCAUGUAUGGAAGUUUAAGUUGUGGUUUUGAUGGGUAAGGUUUGAAGGGUAUUUAUAGUUGCCACUAGAAGAUAUAUGCAAGAUCAUGAGGGGGAUUAUUGGUGUAGCAGAAGCCGUUAUGAAACUUAAGCAGCCUUUGCAUGGUCCCUAUCUCUUCGCUGGGUUAGGCCUUUGCUGCAUGCCAAGAGCGUUACAACUUUCUUCCAAAAGAAAGCGGAAUUGGUUUUCCUGCCAUGUGUAUAACUCUUGCUUAUGAAAGGGGUCGUUUAAUGUAUUGCUUGCACCAGUUUUUGUUUUCCACACAGUAAACACUGCUAAAUCUCGUUCCGUGAGCAGCUUACAAAAACAUGGAAAGCGAUAAUCCGAAGAUGAACUCGAUAUUGUGCUUUAAGUUUAAAAAGCAUGUAUGAAACACUAAUUGUGCCAUUUUUGUCAAUCAGAAUGUAUAUAAAUGCUAAUUAUGUCAGUUUUACACCAAAAAAGGUUUAAUAAGGAAUUUUAAGAUGAAAGAUCAGAAAAUAUGGUUCUUCUGACAUUGCUCAAUUUGUUCCAAAUGGGGCUGAGGCAAUAUGGUGUAUACAGGUUUAGGAACACUGGGUUUCAGUUGGGGAAAACAGAAGGGCAUGGACGCUAGAAAAAUGGAGCAUGCAACAAAAGCACACAAGGCGCUUUUAGCACACUUGAAAUCAUUCUUUACUUCACUAUUGAUAGAGAUACUUUUACAUGCAAAGCUAAGAUAGUAUCAGAAAUUGACACAGUGGUAUAUUCAUAGAAUUAGCCUGCCAACACUUCAGAAUGAUUUCUUAACCAAAAGAAUUUAUAUAUUGAUGAUGAUUUCAUUUUCAAUUUCGAGCAGCUUGUUUUCCUUUCACUUCAUCACUGAUCCUUCCCACUAUACAAUUCAUAAACUAACAGUCAGAGUCAGCUUUUGAAGGCAUUCUCAAGAGAUUCUUUCAUACAAAAAUUCCAUGCUACCAAUGCUGCUCCAACUGCAGGCUCUACCUGAUGGUGAUUCAAGAAAACAAAUACAGCAGCAUUGUAAAAGAGCAUACCAGAAAUUCCACAAAAUAACAUCUGUGUACACAAGCAUAUGGGUUGCUAACUUGGUCGUUAGUAGGACUUCUGAUAAAUUAUAGAAACAAUUAGUAUCUUCUAAUUGAUUAUUGUUCCUUAGUCUAUUUGUGUGUUGUCCACUUUUCAUCUACUCUCUAAUUAUCGUUUGACAUGAAGACACUUUUCCUUUUUAUCCAAGAUAGGGAAGCCCGCCAAUAGAAACUGUACUCAAGAAGCCAUCUACGGAAAGUAGCAGGCUCACCCUUUAAAUCUCAUUUGCUUCAAAUAUGAAAAGUUUAUUGAAGUGAGGCAUAAAAUAUGCUUACCUUCGGCCUAAUAGGAACUGCCCCCGGGUAGUCCUUGGAGAUGCAUUUAAUGACUUCCUCUCCUAUAUCCCACCUCUUAUUUUCAUCAAGAACACCACCAACCAUGACAAGGGGAAAAGAAUCUUUUCCCUCUGCAAUUAUUUUAAACAAAAAAUGAAAUUAGCAUGCAGAGUAGGGACUCCCUACCUUUCAAUUAUUGCAAGGCAGUAUAUAAACUCGAAUCUGAUACACAUAUAGAAUAUCCAUCAUGAACACAGCAAUAAUACAACACCAUAAGUAGAAGGAAUGGGUAUAGCACAAAGGCAAAACAUUUGAAAAUAAAAUAAGCCAGUAAGGAAUGGCAAUAACUUUUCUGCUCCCUGUAUGCAGUUUAUUAAGCAUUUUCUUUUUUUGCAACUGCAUAUUUAAAUAGUAUCACUACCCUACCACUAAAUGAUUAAAAUUUUACGAAGUCAUGCAUAACCUCAUGACCUAUUAUACAUCACACAAAUCCAAACAAGAAUUCCUUUAAUUUUUUUCAGUUUUUUGUUCAGUAUGUCACACCUGGACCACACAAGCCAAGUCUUUGAACAACAGCUUUCACACUCAACCUCAAUUCCUCGACUGAAUCAAACAAGAUCUUAUUUGCAACCUCAUCACCAGCAAUUGCACAACAUACAACAACUGGAACAAGUGCUGCAAUGCGAGCCCAAGAUGGAUCUGCAUAGGUCCACCUGAAAUCCAAUUGAAAAUUAUAGUGGUUAUCUGAUACCCCAUACAAUUACAUCCCGGAUGCUCAUUUCUAUCAAGGUUCUCAAUUCAUUUUCCUCAAGAAGGUUCGCAGAGACAUACAAAAUACCACAUACUCUUUAAAUGAAACAUAUUCCAAUCGAGAAUGCAUGACAAAUUCAAUGGAAAAGAUACACAUAAUUGCCAUUUCAAGAUCAAUGGGGUUAUUUCCACACCCCUAUGUGAGAUGCGACCGACUUUUGACUCCUCUCACGUAGAGGUGCAGAUAAAACCACGUAAUCUAAGAAGAAGAAUCUCAAGAUAUAAAAUGUUUGCAUGCCAAUGGAACCAGAGAACGUAGAUCAUACACAUCUAUACCAGGUUUUAACUACUACAAUAAGUGGAACUUCCCAAUAUUUACAGAUUGCAACAAAUAUAUGACAACUAGUAACACCAUUUAACUACUACAAUAACCAACACCAUUUGAGGGAUUGCAACAAACGAAUUUACAGAUUGAUGGAACAAACCUUGUCAUUUAUUUUCGCCAAAACUGCCUUAAAGAUUGGCUGCAGACUGUAAGAUCCCAAAAUGACAACUAGUAACUUAACCAAUAUAUGUGAAGAUGACAAUUAUAAGUUUCAGAUAGAUACCCGAUGAGUUCAUCUGGAGAAGAAAGACCAAGCUUCCCUAAAAUACUAGACAUAAGCAUUGUAUGUGGACCACGACCAUCAUGGGCCCUUAUUACAGCGGUUAAUGCCUGUGCAGCUAUUCCGUAUCCACUGCAAGUAAAAAGAACAUUACCUUCAGUAAAAACUUCUGGGAAAGGAAAAAGACGGAUAUCGUAAAAAAGAAGCCCACAUCCUGAAUGCAGAAACUACCAGAAUACUACUCAAAAAGUGAUAUUAAGUUUAUUUGACACAUUGAUUGAUUUAUACAUGGCCACGAAAUCUUACAAUUAAAGCACAACAUUAUCAGGCAGGGAGCAACUGUAGAAUAUAGAUGGAUCACAAUCAUACUGCUGGGGAGUUCAAAUCGUCAAUUUAUAAAGUUCAAUGCAAAAUGAUGAGCAGGAAAGGGAAAAUUAACAAUGAAAAUAGAAAGAAUUUUACGGGAUUUCAACAGUAAGAUUAAUUCAAAACAUAUAAUCAAGAAGUGAGUAAAAGUGGAAGUCUUUUUCCCAGUGAUUGUUUCUUUUUACAACCCUUGUAUCAUUUCAUGUACUUGAUGGUUAAGGUGACCUAGCUACAAAAGAUGUAGGAAACCUCCAAUGACAACAAGGAACCACCUUCAUUAAAGUAGGAGCAUCUCGGGGACAGAGCUAGAAAUAGGAAAAUCAAGAUCCGAACAACAAGGCUAUACCUUCCCCAAUCACCUAAGGUAGGUCCUGCGCCAGCUGCCCGAGCUUCUCUACCGUCUUCUGUGAACCCAUAUGCAAUGGUCCCCGUGCCAGCAAUUAGAACACACCCAUGAAGUUUUCCCAAAGUCCCACAAGCUAGAGCUGCCACAGCAUCAUUCUGAACAUACAACCUUGCAUUGCUGGGGAAUACAUCCCUGUUCAUAUCAAGACAAGAUUAAAGCUUUUAGUACUAAACAUUAAUCUGAGAUUGAUAUGUGCCAAAACCAACAAGGGUCUGAUGAAAGCAAUAAAAAAUAAGCACCCAACAAGUAAAUAACUUUAAAAGUAAAAUAAAUAUUUAAAAAAAACACAUACAGGAACAAUGUGCGAUCAUAGAGACUUGAAAAUAAUACCUAAGCCAAUCUAAUAUCCUCUGCUGAUCAGUGGGAUGGUUGACACCAGAAACCGCCAAACAAACAGCUCGAACCGCCGACCGGUUCGAACCGGACUUAGCCAGCGCUUCAGCCAUCACCUGCUCCAAUGUAUCCCUUGCAGCAGCCUCUAAGGUUUAUCAACAAGUUAUUCAAUUAGAUCAGAUACAAAAAUCGAAACAGUUGCGAUCAACUGACGAACCAUGAACAGAAGAACAAUUACCGCCAACGCUGUUGUGGUUGGUGCAACCGGCGACUGCUCGAGCAAGAACGGGAACUGGGUCGGGGAGAGGAUCGGAGAAGGGCAAAAUCGGCAUGCAAAUGCAGACGGUGGAGGUGGUGCCGCCGUCUAAACCCAAGAUGACGUCUCCGGCGCCGGCGGCCACCGGCAUUUGGUUCUCAAAGUCCCAGACUUCGCCAUUCCUGUACCGCUUCAUCUGGGUUUUUGGUGGUGAUUGGAUUGAAUUGGAUUUGAGUGUUUGUUUUGACGAAUCAGAGCUUUAAAAGGCUCCAAUGGAGGCGUGCUCUCUCUGUCAAAGACACAUACGGAUAAUAGGAAGAGAACAAGGAAGAGGGUUGGGGGAGUCAGAUGUUUUUGGGACCGUGUUCAAAAGAAAAUAAUAUUCAUUUCAAAUGGUGGGGUUUUUUUUGUUUUGGUUCUCGGACGGCAAAAUGGGGGGCCAUAAAUAAAUUUAUAACUCAUAUGCUAAUGAUUAUUAUUUCUAAUUGAAGAUGCUUUAUGCAUAACUAGCUACUUGGCACAUGCAUGAUUUUUUUUUUUUUAAUUUAAAAAAAAAAAAUAUGGAUAGUUAUGUUCCAUAAAAAUAGAAUUUAUUAUUUAAUUUUACUUUUAUUUUUAUUUUUUUAAAUAUGAAAAAAUGUGAAUUUACCAUAUUAUUCUAAUUUAAUUAAUAAUUUUAAUUCUUAUUAUUUGAAUUAACCAAGAGCAUUUUUGGUAUUUUGAAUGUUUCACCAUUCUCUGUCUUUUGCUUUAUAUAUAUAGAUUCUGUUCUUUGAUGAUUUGGAAUUUUUUCUCAUAGAUUAUUUUCUUUACUUCUGUCAAAUUCUUUCAAAUAUUUUGUUAAAUUCUUUCAAAUAUGGUUUGGGACAGUUUAGUCGUAUCAUGGGUUGAUUAAAUUAUGGUUGUAUUUCUUUGCUUCCAUUAUCAUUUUGACGUUUUCAAUUUUUUAUUUUAAUGGCAUUCCAAACAUAAUUCACAAUAUCUAUUUAGAACUAAUCCCAUGGAAAGCUAAAAACAACCCUUGCAGCUAAAGCAAGAUGGUGCACUUGAAUUCACAUUUGCAAUCAACUAACCAAUUCAUGUACAUGUUGAACAGAAUUAUGUAUUGUUAAAGGUGUGGUAUGGAUAAGAAAGACUAUGCAAUCCUCCCAAACCAAAGUCCCAAGCUAAAAUACUGAUGACAGUUGCUCUGCUUCCAUUCUAGAAUGCAAGGCGUUGGCAAGUUGGGGAAAUGAGGGUUUUCCAACCAACGAUCAAGGUUCAAGCAGGAGGGCAUCGAUGUUCCGUUUUCCUUCUGGGCCCUUUGUGUACCAUGAUGACACAUAAUCUCCAUAAACAAUUUCCCGGUAGAGGGGAGGAGUUAACGCACUGGUAAGCUCAGAAGCAGGGGAUACUUUCACCGUCUUGGCUGGAUCAUGAAAUGUAGCAACUGAGAGCCGUGCCUGAUUGGAAUUGGUUAAAGCCCUAUGUUGAGCACUCCUGUACUUCCCAUUGGUCAUUAUCUGCAGGCAAGAUAAUCCACUGUUAGAGAAUAAACAUAAUUCACAUGAUUGCUCCACUUGUUCAAUUAAUUUCAUUCUACAAAACAAAUCCUAUGAAAGAAAACGCACUUGGAUCCAAAGAAUGACAAGAAUCCUGUAAAGCACAUGUUGGCGAUCCGAUUAUCAGCUUAGAGAGAAGACAUUGAUAGGUAUAAGCCUCAAGCACUGCAUUUUUUAGUUUCAGAUCGUCUCAGCUCAAGUCCACUAGGUACAAUCCAAAACUGAACCACUUAAAUCAGUACCUUUGAGUAUUGAUCCAAGGCCCCAACAGUGAAAGUCAGUUUCGUAGUGGUUGGAUUAAUUAGAGGUUCCUCUACAUGUCACAGUUAUUUGUGAUCUAAAUUAAAUCCAAUUAUUACGACAAAUCAGAAAGGACAAUGACCAAGCCUCAAUGUGUUCCAUGGGACCCAAACUUAAUAUCCCUAACCAAAUCAUAUAAGAACAAUGAAAAAACAUAGAAAAAUAAGUACAACUGAGGGUUGAUGUCAUGCCAAUGUCUAGAAAUAGUGGUUGUCAAUGACAUCAAACAAUUAGCAGCUUCAUUGAAGACAAAAUAAAGUGCUUAAAAAAAUUAUGGCUUAACCCUUGCACGAAGUGUAAAAGCAGGCCUAUGAUAUACAGUGUGACUCCUUAUAGACUGACAGAUUUUGCAACAUGUGAAAUUUUUAGUAUGUCAUGACCAACAGCAACUAAGAGCACAUAUACCAAGCAGUAGGUCUUAACUUGGUUGGCUACACAUACAGUCAACGUAGAGCCAUAUUAACCUAUGUUUAUUCUCAAACCAUUUGUCCUAAUUGACCAAGAAUGAACAAAAACCAAACCAAAGAAAACAAAAAUAAGGUUACUUGGUCAGCUUGUCCUCAGGUCCCCUCAAACGAAUACUAUAAUAACAGGCUGAAAAUCAAUACGUCAAGCAAAUAUAAAACAAAAACGAUCAGAAGCCUGGCCAAGACCGACAGAUAAGCACAACUACCCAGACAAAAACGUUGAUGUCUCUAGACAUAAUAGAACAUAUUGCUACCAGUACCACUUGAUUCAAUUCAAUAUCAUCGAGAAGCCUAAAAGCUAAAAGAAUACCAUGAAAUACACUCAUCACGAUUCAUCCACUGAGAGUUUCCUGGGAUUCAAGCAUAUUUUUAUCUGGAGAAAAUGUGAUUCGGCAAACUAUAAUUCCAAAGCAUCAUGGUAAUGGACUGAAUAUAUUUAAGAAGGCAUAAGCAUCAACUGACAACGACUCAGCUUCUCUUAUUAAUAAUAAAAUUAAAGAAGGCACAGUACAAGACACUUCUCCAUGCCUAUUUUAUUUCAGAAAAUCCUUCGAAUCUUUUAAUAGACUAAUACAAAGUCAUAACAAAGAAAGUUGAUCAUAGCAAUUUGACACUGUUCAAGAUAAGUUAAACUCACUGCAUUCUAAUUUCUACUGCCCUCCUUUCUUUCUCACCAAUUUAGCUCAUUUCUUUCUAAAAAUGAAAACUGCAAAUUUUUCAUAGUUUGGUCCGCUAAAAGAAGAAUACGAAGGUGUGUGUUUGAUGUUUGAUAGAUGAUGAGGUACCUCGGUUUGGUCAGCUAGAAGAACAACAAUGGCAUCACCACCCAAAGGCUUCACAGGAACCCACUCUCCGUCUUUAAGCACCUCAAGCCCACCCACCUCGUCCUGGACCAACAGCGUAAUCGCACCAAAAUCCGAAUGGGCCUGCAGGCCCAAAGUCAGCUCAGGCUGAGGACACGGUGGGUAAUAGCUGAUCGUAAUGUUCUGCCAAAACUCCCCAACCGCCUCCUCUAAACGCCGCGUUUCAAGCCCCAGGCUCUCGGACGCCAGCCCCAGCAGCUCUCGCGCCAGCGAAGCAAUUUGAUCGCUGUACUCGGAAACCACCUGGCGGUAAUCUGCGGGGAAAUGGGGCCAUCGCGUGGGGUUCCGGCGCCGGAGGGGGAGGGUGUGGUGAUCGAAGUAGUCCCUCCAGUCCAAAACGGUGUCGUCCUUCUCCAGCAUCCGGCUGCCGUAGCCCUCCGACGCCGACGAGCUCGGAUCGCACGCAUACUUGAGUUUGUCUUCGACUGAGCUGUCGUUGAAGAAGGUGAGGCCCGCGCGCUUGAUGGCGUCGACUAUGCUGGCAGGAACGCCGUGGUUGGUGACGUGGAAGGCGCCCCAGUCCCGGCAGGCUUGCCCAAUUGAGGCCCGAACUGAAUCACGUCGGGUCGGGUCGAGGCCGAAAAGGUUGAUGAGCGGAAUGUUGGUUGAAGAAGAAGGUCGAUUGGGUCGGUGCUGGGGAGGUUGAAUGUAUUGUGGCGGGACUUGGUUGAGGCCGGCUUGGGCUAAGCUUUGAACUCUGAUGGGCUCCGCUGAUAUUUCCAUUUCUAUCGAAUUGGAAUGAAUUUACAGAGAAAGAUACAGAGCGAUGUGAUGAUGAAGACGAUGAUACCGAUUUUAUAGUCCGGAGUUAUUCAAGCAUAUAAAAAACUGUGCUUUUUGUUAUUUCUUUCCCGGCAGAAAAUAAAUACGUUCAGUAAAGAAGCGCUGUAUUUACUGAUUAAUUAAAGUGAUUGGCAAAAUUUAUUUGGGUUACAAAAUUGAGCAACAUACGCUACGUCAGGAGAAAACUUACACAGCGAUGCUAAGUCAUUUCAAGCCUAUCAUGUAUUGUCAGUGUCGGUAGGGGCAAUCAAUGCGACGAUGGCCAAAUUUUAUUAUUUAUUUUUAAUAAAGAGUUAUAUUAUAUUAAUUAUAUAUUUUUUUAAUAUUUUAAAUAAAUUUUGAAAAAAAACAAGAAGCAAAAUGGGUGUUCUAACUCUUUUAAGCUCUAAUUGAUUGUAAAUUUGAAAAUUUUAAGCUUCUUGUUGUGGAGGGGGAUUUGAUUUCUCAAAUUCCAAGUUAUGUUGUUCUUUGUUUAUUAUUUGAAGUAUUAAAAUUUCAUUGGAUUUCUUUGUAAUGUUUCUAAUUUCAAGUAGCAAUGAUUCCUAAAAACAACAAUCUUGAAGUCAAAAAAGAAAAAGAAAUGAUUGAAUUGUUACAAGUAUUUAUCUUGUUUAUGCAUUAUAUUUGAAUGUCUCAAGCGUAUCCUCUUAUUUUAGAUUUUUAUAUAUUGAAAUUUCAGUUUAUAUAAUUUAUUUGACUUGAAUGUUAAAUUUUUAGUUAAAUUCAAAUAAGUUAAAUCUUGAUUGAAAACUGAGAGUGAGUCUAGCACUUCAAGAGAAAAAAAAAUUAUAUAUAGCUUAAGGGUCUACUUUUUUACAUUUGCCUUAGGUCCUGAAAAAUUCAAGACCAGCUAUGUGUAUUGUUAUGUCGAAAAGUUAAAACACAUAACAAUAGGCGAUUGGCUCGAAAUAGUGCCAUAAUGCUAUCCUGAUAUUGGUAAAAUUUUCUCACAUAUGAGAACUGUAAAGACCCAAACCUAAAAUUCACAUGUAAUUAGUAAUUUAUUAUGCGGAAAGACAAUUUUGCCCUUUGACUCACUUAUGAACUCAACGUUGACUUUUUGACCAAAAAGGAAUAUGACAAUUUCACAUACACCGUUGCGUAGAGCACGAUGACACGAGUUCAUAGACACGAAGUAAGCUCGAAUUGGAGUUUAACGAAGAAAAUACGAUUACAAUAUCACGAGGGGCAAAAUGGUAAAUUGGAAAAUCAGAUUUUAUAAAAUCUUUUCUCUCUCUCUCUUCCCCAUCAGUUUCUCUCUCCUCUCUCUCUCUCUCCCGCGCGCGACGUCCGUCGCCUCCUCCCUUCCCGUCACCACACCAGCCACCACAGGGCACGCCGAUCUCCGGCGUUGGUACCAGCAGCUUCGUCUCGCCGCCGCCGUCACGCCACGACCUGCCUCCACCCCUGCACCGGCUGGAGCUCGCCGGAAACUGGAGGAGAACCGCCGGUUUUAGGCAAAACUUCAUCUCCUUCGUUCUCUCUCAAUUCUCAACCAAAUCGUUCGAGUAAGGUAUGGAUUCUCACCUAUUUUUCAUGCUCUAGCUGAUGGUUGGAUAGGUUUUGAUCGAUUUCAGCCGUAGAUCACUCGAUUUUUGAAUUGAAAUUCGGCCGACUUUCGGCCUCCGUGUUCGGCCACUUCCGAUCAGUUUUUGGGGUAGGUCCAAGAAUAAAAGUGACUCCAAAUGGGGUGUUUUACCUAGGAUAGGAGUUUUGAGUCCUAGUUCCGCGAUUUUUCGACCACCCGAAAUUGCUUAAGACACCCAAAUCUUCCCGCGCGUGCUGGGGCGCGUGGGCGAGGGUGGUGAAGUAAUUUUGUACAGUUUUGUGACCCUUGUGUCGUCACGAGCGCGUAGGAUUUCGCGGAUCUCGAUUCGGAGUUCGUUUGAGCCCCGAACGGAUUUUUCAUAUCGCGCGAUCCUUGGGUGCAGUGUCGUCAAAUUGUUGGAUCACACUGAAUUUUGGAUAUGUCGGUCUACAUGAUUUCAGGAUCGUGUAGGAGUCGACGGAUUGCGAAUCGGAGUCCCGGAUACUCCGAAAUCGCGAACCCUAGGGCUAGGGUUUAGAAACUAUGCGAUUACACGGUCGUGAUUAAUCCGACCGUCCGAUUGACACCAAUACCCUCGGGACAUGUGUCCUAAAUAUAUUAGACCUUCUAGCGGCAUCCGGAUCAUAUUGUACCCGUGGGGUUCCAGAUUGACUUUUUGGACUUUAGCGCUUUUGAGUCCCAAGAUACCGCUAAACGAUCCCACGUGGAAGGAAAGCUGUUAUGGGCAUAGGGAUCACUUUAAAUUGACGCACGUACUUUUAGGAGCGGGGAUAGGGUUUUUAAUUUAAUACUAUAUUGUAUUAAUAGAAUAUUAUGGUCAUUGAAUCAGGCACCCGGGCACCAGUUGACCCGCAGGAGGGACCUUCAAGAGGUCCAGCGAGUUUGGACUAUCAGUGAGUGGACUCUUUGUUUUCAUAAAGGAAUUUAAGCAGUUCAAUUUCAGUUAUUAGCUGUUUUAUUCUGUUAAAUAUUUUAUGUUGCAUGCUGCCGAGUGACAUUUCUGUUAAAGACUAUAGAAACAGAUAUUCUUGUUCAUUAUCAGAUAAAUGGCAGCAAAAUUUUAAAGGUUACAGAAAGUUAAUUAUUCAACAGAUUUCCUUCAGAAACUUUAUAUUUUCUUAAAUCACCUUGUACCCAGUUAUUAAAUGUUGCCUUCGAUUUAUAGUGGUUGCCUUCGUUUAGUCAGCAUGCUUGACAGUUGCCCCACGAGUUCCUUGGUACUCGAACUCGUGUGGAGCGAGUAAUGCGGAUAAAGGUGGACUACGGUCCCCUGAAUCCUGCGAGUUGCGGCUCAGACUGACUUCGUGUCACUGAGACCUGCGAGUAUGUGUCACCCAUGGUGAUGCAAGGAAUUGACGGAUAUAAGGAAUUGACGGAAAUAAGGGUACACCAAGGUGAUAGUUUAAACUGUUUUCAAAUGUAUAGUUAUAUACAUGCAUUGAUUUCAGAAAUAAAGAAAAUAAGUUAGUUUGUAUAACUGUUUUUACAGUGGGGUUAGUAUGUUCAUAUAUUAUUUUCGAAGCUUUGUUUUGGGUCCACUCACCCUUCUUGUUGUUUUGCGCCCCCAGGCAGUAGACGUGCACAUGAAUCCAUCACCGGGCCACUUCCCAUCUUCCGUGCCUUUCUUUGAUGUAGGAUUUGUAUUUUGUACAACGAUUCACUCUUUUGUAAAUUCUUAGCAGUCGCUCUGAUGUUUUGCCCUAGAUUGAGUUUGAUCUCUUGGAAUGUAUAUAUACAUAUGCUGGCAGUUGGUUGUAUAUAUGUAUACUUGUUUGGCAUGUGUGAAUGUUUUGGUAUUGAGCCAGUUACAAGGGAAACUCUGCCGGUUUUUCGGUAGAAGUCAACCUUGUUAUUUUAUCGUGUUUUGUAUAGAAGGGCAAAUAGGUCUUUUGUGCCCGACAUUUGCCAAAUGUCGGACACGCACAGGGUCUGACUCGGAUUCCAAAGCGGAAUUUGGAUCGGUCCUGUCAAGAACUCAUAAUAACAUAAAGAACAAAAAAAAAAAAAAAACAUGCUUUUUGUACAAGAAUUGUAGUUGGUCUUCUUUGGUUUAUCAUUUGGACUUGGACACUCGUUUUUAUGUCAAAAAAAGGAAAAAGAUCCGGGUGAAGUAAUGUUAUGCAAGUAUGGAAUGCAGGGCUCAACUUUGGUGCCAAAAUUGACCUUAAAAAUUGACCAACAGUAAAAGACCAGGCCCCCACAGUAAAAUUUGAUGAUAAUACAGUGGGCUUGAACAAUCUGUGUAUCUGGGUUUGGUUUGACUGAGCACCUUAUCCCAAAUUCAUAUUCCCCUCUCUCAAUUCCUCUGUGAGAAAGACACAGCCUUUGAUUUGUACUUGAAAUUUUUUUUCCUCACAAAACCCACAAUGCCACCACCAGCCACUCUCUCAGCUUCAUCUUCCUUCACUCUCCUCUCUCCAUCUCCCUCCCCAAAACCAAAGUUCCCUUCUUUCUUCCCCAAAAGACACUCCUUCGCAAUCAACCCACGUCACCAUUCCCUCCACUCAGUUCCCUCCUCCACCGUCCGAUGCGCCGUCAUCGAGAAAGAAACCCCGGAGGCCCAGCGGCCCGACACCUUCCUCCGCGCCAACUCCUCGUCGUCCUCCGUGCGGGCCCGCUUCGAGAAGAUGAUAAGAGAAGCCCAAGACACCGUCUGCGCCGCCAUUGAGGCCGCGGACGGCGGUGCCACCUUUAAAGAGGACGUGUGGUCGAGGCCCGGUGGCGGUGGAGGCAUCAGCAGGGUCCUCCAAGACGGCGCCGUUUGGGAGAAGGCCGGUGUCAAUGUCUCUGUUGUCUACGGCGUUAUGCCUCCCGAGGCAUACCGAGCUGCCAAGGGUGCCGCCGCAGCUGAUCACAAGCCGGGCCCGGUUCCUUUCUUCGCCUCCGGAAUUAGCUCGGUAAUUUCGUGAGUUCUGCUCGUUUUGUGAAAAAAGAAAGAAGAAAAUGUUGGGUUUUUAUUUUGUUUGUAUAAUAUAUGGGCCUGCGGUUUGGUUGUGAUUGUUUUCAGGUUUUGCAUCCAAAGAACCCUUUUGCACCUACUUUGCAUUUCAAUUAUCGGUAUUUCGAAACGGAUGCUCCGCAAGGUAUGAAUGUGAUCAUUUCUCAUAUCUUUAAUGUGGAUUGCACAUUGCUUAGUUAGGUUGCGUUUGUAGGUAGGUAGGUAGGCAGGCAUGAACCCAGCUUUGGUGGUAUUACUAAUGAAGUAGAUGAUCUCUAAAUGAGUUCAGCAUUUUAUGUCAUGCUUGUGUUGAAUAAUGCAAAACCAAGGAUAUCAAAGAUUGGGAAAGGUAAAGGUUAAAUUUGGAUAUAAAUGUGUACGUGUUAUUAUGAUGAAAACUGUUAAACCCAGAAAACAUAAUUUGACGGGCACUAGAUUAUGCUCACAUGCUAGAAAUGAUAUGUUGAGAUUCUGAUUACUUCCCUUUAUGGGUUGAUUAACAAUCAGUAAUAAUGAUAGUUGCAAUGCUGAUAAUAAUACUAGCAGUUGUGAUAGUAGAAACAAUAAUAAGAUUGACUAUAGGGAUAAGAUAUUUCUUCUCGUCAGUUUCUGGAAAGUGUUCAGUCAGUGAUGUGGUAGAGAAGAUGAGGCAGAUAUCAUAUCACUAAUAAGUUUCUUUUUCCCUUGUCCCAUGCUUGAAAGUUUGCAUUUCCUUAUAUCACUCGUGUAUAAAUAAUUUAUGAAUAAGAAAGCUCUUUGGACCCUGAUUCGUCACAUUUAUGCAGAUGUUCCUGGAGCACCUAGGCAAUGGUGGUUCGGUGGCGGAACUGACUUGACACCUGCUUAUAUUUUUGAGGAGGAUGUUAAGCAUUUUCAUCAAGUAUGUAAAACAAAACAGACAACAUCCCUUAUGGUGUUUUGUGAUUAAAGUCCCACUUCUUUUGAAAAAUUCGGUGGCUUUAACUAACUGUAUAGUGGUGUUGGCCUUCUUCUGUAGGUCCAGAAAAGUGCUUGCGACAAAUUUGAUCCUACCUUCUAUCCUCGGUUCAAGAAAUGGUGUGAUGAUUAUUUCUAUAUUAAGGUAUAUUUCUUACUAAACCCUUUUAAUUGUUAUGUGUUAUAAAUUUGUAAUAUGGUGUUGAUGGUACAUAUAUCAUUUCUGUAUGCAGCAUCGAGAUGAGAGGCGAGGGCUUGGAGGAAUAUUUUUUGAUGAUCUAAAUGACUAUGAUCAGGAGAUGCUUCUUUCCUUUGCCACUGGUAUUGCUUGGAAAUAUAGAUUCUUUUUUCUUUUCUUUUUUUUCGGUUGUAUUUUCCAUUAAUUAUUUCCUACUAGUUGAGUGACUGCAUCCACUUCCUGCAUGCACUUCCGUUGAGUUGAAGAAUGUGCAAAUUCUGUGGUCCCUGCUUACAUACCAAUUAUAGAGAAAAGGAAGGAUCUACCAUUUACAGAUCAGCAAAAGGCAUGGCAGCAAUUGCGAAGAGGGCGCUAUGUUGAAUUCAAUUUGGUAUGAAGAGCCCUGAAGAUGUUAGUGAAAUUCAUAUCAGCAAUUAAUAUGCAAAUGAGGCCUAAUUUCCGUUUUCUUUUAAACAAAAGGUUUAUGAUCGUGGAACAACUUUUGGACUAAAGACGGGAGGUCGAAUUGAGAGUAUUCUUGUCUCUCUUCCACUGACUGCUCGGUGGGAAUAUGACCAUGUAAGCUUACUGGUUUUCUCUGUACGAUACUUUAUUUCUGGUACUACUGAAAAAUGGAGCGCCUUGAAGUUUUGAACUCAUAAUUGAGAGCAAUCUUAUUGUUUGCUGUGCAGAAACCAGAAGAGGGAAGUGAAGAAUGGAAACUGUUAGAUGCUUGCAUCAACCCAAAGGAGUGGGUAUAAUGUUCUAAAUGUAUGUUUGUAUCAUUUUGAGAUUUUUACUUCUUUUUCCCCACUCCUCGUCUUUCUUCUAUCAUCUUCCCUUCAAUUUUUUUCUUCAAUAGUUGAGGCUAGAAGUUAGCAGUCGAUAUCUUGUUGAAAAGUAAUCCAAUACAUGUUGAAGGUGAUGUGAGUUGUGAAUCAUGUUAGAAUUGUCAUCUUUUGUAAGACUGGAAACUCUUCUUGCCCAGUGAAUCUGUAGUCGAUUAAGAUUUCCCAACUUCUUCAUAUCCUGUAAUAUAAUCUAAUACAUGCACCGGGUGAUUUCGUUUUUUCCCCUGCACGGAAACAAGCUUGGAAAUGAGUACGAGAUUCUUCUCAUGUUUGGUUAGAGCACAAUGUAUCCUACAGGGGAAAAUCCACAUGAACAUGAGAAGGGUGGGUUUUCCGUUUUCAUGGGUUUUAAAACCCAUAUACAUUUCUUUGAUCAAAGAAACAAAAACCCAUAUACAUUUCCAAAAGGAGAUGGGUUUUCAUUCUCAUUUCUAGUCCUAGUUUUAGCAGCUUUGAAAUAAAAUGGUAAUGGCAAUAAAACCUUUAUAUUUUUACUUAAUUUGAAUUGAAUCAUCCAAGGGAGGCUUUAAUUUCCAAUUGUCUGGUGAAGCAUCGCAUGGUUAAUCAAAAAGUUGCUUAAUGAAAGAUCUUGCAAAUCAAGUGAUGUAAAAAUACGGGCAUAAAUGAAUGAAUUAAUUAGAAAGAUCUUGCACAGAUACUUACAUUAUAACCUAAACUAGAAAACUUCAAAUAUGUAUUAUAUGGACAUAGAAUUUUUCAUGGAGCGUAGGCCCCUCUAGUUAGAUGUGGUAUGAUGAAUGAUAUGCAAACUCCAAGUCGCAAGAGACUUGUAACUCAAGUAGUUAAAGCGAACAUAUACAAAGCGAAGGUAUUGACUCCAUAAUGGUGGUAUGACUCAGAUAUGUUUGUACCACUUCCAGUUAUGGGUGAAACUAAACUCUCUACGUACAAAAUGAUUAAUCAUGUCGAUACUCAUGUACAGAAAAGUCAUCAUACAGCAAACAACCAUCCUUGUAGUGAAGAAGGUAAUAGCAGUUGUCACAGAAGUAGCAGGGGUUCUCCUGAGCCCACUUGUCAUCUAUAGUCACCUGUGUUGCUCUAAAUAUUUUACAAACAUAACAUUUUCGUAUAUGUGGCUUCAGUUGAAAUAAGAGUAUCGGAUAGGCUGCCCUGUUUUGUACAUCCUGUGGAUGAAUCAAUCUCAUGUCUCUAAUUACAAUUGUAUGUCUGCAGUCUCCCUGUUUCAAAUCAUUUCCCCAAAUCGACAUCAACAACCGUCAACAGAGAUGCAUAAAAAGUUUAUCAAGAUUCUCACAUACAGAAAAAUACGUUGUAAAGCACAAAAUAAUGUUUCCCUUACAGAAAGGCAUGAAAAGAUGGCAAUAGAGAUCUGUACCUGGUGACAAUAUAGAUAUCCAGCACCAAGUCGAAAUUUCAAGUCACAAAACUGCGUCUUGUGCAUGUCAACGGCUCUGAAAUGAGGCAACUGUGAGCCCGUAACAUCACCUACAACUGCUUUUUGCUUCGUUUGCAAUCCUCCAGCUGCAAUCCAUUCCCAUUUUUUAAGAGCUUCGUCUUUAGAAUUUCUAAGCCAAUCAAAUAUAGGUUCACUAUAAUCUACUGCUGAGGGAUCCCUCAAAUCGUUGCACAAUGUAUCCUACAUAGGAUCAGCAAUAUGCUAGAUUUCAGUGCAAAUUCCGUCCUCAUCAUGAAAAUAAACAAUAAAUGGAUAGAUUUCUUACUUCUAUAAGGAAAUAUCCUGAAGGGUCAUGCUGCUUAGCCUUUUGCAUCACAUGGUCCGCUAAGCAGUAGAUCUUAUCCCUCAGUUCGGUCAAGGUUUGUUGUCCAAGGACCAAGAACUCUUGGUUCUGCAAACAAUCUUACUUCGUCAAUAACGGCAGGAACUUGAGGAAAGAAUUAUGUGAGUAAUGAAAAAGAGUGCUACAUAAAUAAGACAUGAAUGACUUGAAAUUGCUUUUAAUUCAUCUUUUCCCAGACUCAUAGAGGCAAAGAAAUCCUGUAACAGAAGGAAGGAAACCUAACUACUUUUUUCUGGUCUAUCUUUUCCCUAAACAAUACUAAAGAAGAAGAUGAACAUUCUCAGAGAACACAAGUCUGAUGAAGAAAAUAUAAAUCACAAGUCUAUUGGAUGAAAUUUUUGGUCUUGCUCCACUCGCAAUGGACUACCAAUUUAUUGGAGGUGACUCAGCCACAAGGGACCUAAAACCCUACCUGUAAGAACCUAGCUAACUCAAACCAACUCCAGAUUAAAAUGGAGAGACACAUCCAGUUGUUCUUUAGGCUUAACUCUGAGAACUUCCCAGUAUAGAGUUACACAUACCAUGACUUUCUUUCAUAUUUGUACAAAGAUUAAUAUCCCAAUCCACAGAGAAGCUCCCACUCAGGAAUGAAAGCAUCCUCAGCCAGCUAGGUUCGAGCAUGGAUAUCUUUGUUUCUGGAGCUUGUGGUCAAUGUUUGUAUCCUAUGAAGCGUGUGCUUUUUAAAAAUGAAGAAUUGCACUUGCACACAUCUCAAUUAUAGAGACAUAUCAGAUAUUUUAACCCUACAAAUCAGAAGCCCACGAAAAAUGCUAGCAUGAUACCUUGACUAGUAGGAACCAUAUAAUUGGCAAACAAACACCAAAACCAAAAGCUACUCUAUUUGACAUAAGCAAGAAGAUGCUAUACCUUCACCCAUUUUCGCGCAUUAUGGUAAACCUCAAUGGAAAGAGCAACUUCUGGAUAGUGCACAGGUACGUAGCCCUGAAUGUUGGAUGACUUUACCUGUUUGCAUAAGAGGGGGAAAAAAAGCAUAGAUAUUAUCAACCAUCUGAGAAGUCAGAGCCAGCAAAUUGAACAUGACUGCAUGAAAACAUUCACAAUAGGCAACUCUUAAGCAAACCUUCACUGCUGAACUUGCAGAUCUGAGGGGUUUCAUCCUAUCAAUUGUCCUUGAGGAUGUAAUGGCACAAUCAUUGACCUUCGAACUAGGGCUGAAUCACCAUAAGAAAAACAAUAAGUUGAAGAUGUGAGAAAAUUCAUUGAGUGAGUUACAUAGUCAUUCUACUAACUUGAACGAAUGCAGUGUCACAGCAGCUUUGUCUUCAUCUUGCUUCUCUUUGAUUCUUCUAACAUGCUCCACCUUUGCAAUAUAAGUUUCCUGGAAUGUGGCAGCAAUUAAGUUGUGAACAUGAUAACAAAGAUAUGACUUGAACAUAAGCAAGGACAAUGAAAAAUGUAAUGCAACGACAAGAAUCCUAGAUUGCAGGACCCUUACUAGGCAUGCAGUUGGGAAACUUUUUGGGAGCUUCAAAAAGUCUCUGCUCAGCGCACCUGGGGUCCUUGAAAAAUUUGCUAACUUUCUCAGUUUACCCUCAUUCUCUUAAAAAAUUCCCUUAGGUGGUACAUUAGCCUUUAAACUAGAUAGGUCUUCUCAUUCAAAUUUUACUAUUUCUUGCACCCACCCAAUUUUCAACAGUGUGAUGCCUAGGCUUUCAAAAUGAAGGAAGAUACAGACUUAAUAUAACGAGGUACUAUACCAAGUACCAACAAUUCAGAUAAAUACAUUAGCAGACACGGAGAAGGCAAUAUCUCACCUCUAGAUCAUGAUUCUUUGCCUUCGUUCGUUUUCUCUUCCUUGAUUUCUUUUUACAGGCUUCGUCAUUUGAUGCCUCGUGAUCCUUUGAUCUACUGAAUUAGGCGUAUAAAAAUCAAAUAAUGGAUAAAAAACAAUUUGGAAAUACAUAGCAGAUAGAGAAUACUCGUCAAAGUAGAAAAGAAGACUAUAAUAAGACAUAUGAAAGAUUCAGUUAAAUUUGUUCGCUUAUGUAUAAAUAUGACUCACCCUUCAUCGGAAGGCUCUUCUGGAAUAGGCGAAAGAUUGGGGGAAUCUUCAUUGUCCUACAAUCAAACCCAUGAUAAAGCCGUAACUUGUUAGCACAAGCACAGCUGUAUUAUUUAUCAGAGCUUCUUCAAAUCACAAAAAAACCCUAUGUAUAAGUAUGAGUGUACCUUAAAUGCUUCCUUGAUAGCCAUAUCCACCAACUCUUCCUCAGUCAAGAUUUUGAGCUCAUCCACCCUGCACAACAAACAAUACCACUGUGAACCAAAACCUACCAGCUAAAAUUCAAGAUGCAAAACCCAAGACAAAGGAAAGUAAAAAUGCUUACGAAAUAUCUUCGUCUAAGACUUGGGAUGAACUUGAAGAUACUUCAAAUUCUAAAUCCUGCAAAAUAAGCCCGGCACAACUUUAAACUUAUGAAUCAAUCAAAAAUUAGCAAAGCAAUAACAGAACUAUCAAGAACUCAUCAACCAAGAGUACCUGAAGUUCUUGAACAAUAGAAGACUGGAACAAAGGGACACUGGUGAGGGAGCCCACCAGAUUGGGAACGAAGAUGGGCCCACCUCUGGGAACUGAGAGUUCUUCCUCUUCCUUAUCACAACCAUUGUUGUUGUUAUUGGUGUGUUCUUCGUCUUCAACACUGCAACUGUCACCGUCAUUCUCUGCCAUAAUCUAUCUUCUUGUGUAAAGUUUUGAACUUUAAUUACACCAACAAAAUGCAUAAACUAUAUAUCUUCUCAAUAUUCAACGAAAUUAAAGAAACCCAAUUGGGAAAGCAGCAUACGAAGUGAAGGGAACAGUUGGUUUCAUUUACAACAAAAUUUGAAAAAAAAAAAUAGUAUAAAUACCUGUGAGGUGAAGCCUAGGGUUUCUGAGAGAAAGAGAGAGAGAGAGUUGAAGACAAAAGUGUCUCUCUUUGCGUCUCCCGGUUAACCCCCCAAACAAACAGUUUGUUUUUACAGUGAAUAGGCCUGGGCACGGUUUGGGUCGGGUCAAAUUUUGACUGACCCGUGGGCCAAACCGACCAAGACUGCGGUUCUCGGGUUGGAUCGGGUCAAAAAUGAAACCCGAAGUUGGGCCAACCCGAACAUACAAGGUUCGGUUCUGGUUUUUUGGUCGGUUCUGGGUUGAGCCCAAAAUCAAUUUUUUUUUUUCUUUCUAAAAGCCCAAUAUUGUUGAAUUUUUCAAAAGCCCAAUAUUGUUUUUUUUUUUUUAACAAUAUCAGUUUUUCAAGCAGCCCAUCAAUUAAAGGUUUUCCUUGCCCAAAUUAUGUAAAUUCAACUAUAACCUGUUUUUUUUUUUUAAAGUAUCUAAACUAUCAAAUUAAAUUUCACAAUCAUCAUAAAACUACGAAAUUAAAUUUUACAACCCAUGACCAAAAAAAAAAAAAAAAAAGUAAAGCACCAAAUAUAUUCACUUGUAUCAGUUAAGGGAGCUGCAAACAAAACAUGUUUUGCAGCUCCCAUGGCUUCUCCAUCAUCAUUGUUCCAAUUCGACAAAGUGUCAAACCUGCAUCCUGAUCAAAUAUCACAACUAUAGAAUAUCAGAGCAGGAAAUGAUUAGUUCUGCACAAAAUGACAGAAUCUAAACCUUUGAAAAACAAAUAUAGACCAGUCAUUCAAUCAAUAAAUAAUUAUUCAAUAAAAAAAACUAAUUAACCCAAAUAUUAGCAUUCAUUCAUCAAUAAGAUACUAACACAAACAUGCUACAUAAGGAAAAAAGGGAGAAAACAAAUAAAAGAAUGAAUGCAUUUAAUCAACAACAAGUUAAGUAGAUUCAUGCCAAAAAUACAGAUUCAAGACAACUCAAUUAAAUAAAUUGAAACAGAUUCAAGGCUACCAAUCGAACCUAAAAUACACAGAUAAAAAAAUCAGAAAUUAAAUCUGAAAACAAUGAAGAAAGCAUCCAAACAUAAACAAAACUAAAUUCCAUGUAUGUCUACGUCUAGGAAAAUGUAGUAAUAGAGUGCAGAAGGGCAAAGCUAAGCCUGAAUUUCAUCUUUCAAAUUGAUGAAAACCAUAUUGCCAAUUUAUUCAUAAAUUUUAUUCAUAAUCGAAAUCAAUUAUAUUAAUACGAUACCUCAGUGCAAAGACACAAUUCGGGGCAAUUCGGACCACUGUGAUCAUGUUACAAAGAACAAAUUAGAUAAUUCACAACACUGAGUACAGAAAAAUUGAACAGAGUAUACAAUGAAAUCAUUGACAUGAAAAUGUCAUAGUAUAAGAGUGCUUACCAGAAAGCUGCAACGCAACAAUCUGCAGAACAAACAGAACACAGGAAGAUUAAAAUUGAAGGUCAGAUCAUAUUCACAUAAAGAAAGAAAAUACCAAAAAUCCAUACAUCUAAAGUAAAGCCAUAUGGAGCUGAUGAUUUAAAAAUAUAUAAUUCUAAUUCUCCCAUUCCUUUUAAGCCACACACAGAGAUUGAGACAGAAAUAUUUAUACCUUCAAUUUUGCCUAUUAAUCCAAACCCACAGAGACUAAGCACAACAACUGCAAAAUUAAGAAAAAAUUGCAUUAAUUUCAACAGAAUACCAAAAUUUCGAAACCCUAAUAAUCUACUAAAUUAGGGAAAAUGAAAACAACUAAGAAUCCAAACUAAAUACAUACAAAUUACCUUAGAAUGAACCAGAGCCCUCCAAAAUUUACAAGGAUUCGCUCCAAAAACCAAUGAUAUUGGAUUGAUGUUUGGUUAGGUUUGGAGAAAGAGAAUGAGUCUCGCGUCUCUAAGAGACUUAAAGAUGUGACUAAGAGAGAGAGAGAGAGAGAGAGAGAGCGAGCGCGAUAGAGACGAGUUGAGAGAGAGACAGAGAGACAGAGAGGGCGCGCGAUAGAGAUGGCGGCCGAUGAGGUAGGGUUAGUCUCAGAUCGGGAGAGAAAUAGUGUAGGGUUUCGUGAGUGAGUGAGAGAUAGAUACAGAGUGAGUCUGAGAGGGUUAGUGAAAAAAUAAUAAAUUAAAAUUUGAGAGAGGUUCUGAUAUAGUGCAAGCAGACCCACCCAAAGUUCUUAUUUAAGCCAAUGAGACAACGCCAUGUGUCAAAUGCAUAUAUAAUUAAAUAAUGGUCGGUUCGGUUCAGGUCCAACGGUUCAAAAAAUUUUAGACCCGAAGCCUGAACCAAAGUCAACGGUUCGGUUCAGGUCCAGCGUUGACUUUUUCGGUUUGGUCAAAAAAACCUUAUUUUUCGGUUUGGUUUGGUUUGGUUCGGUCGGUUUGAUCAGUUUAUCAGUUUUUAUGCCCACCCCUAGUAAAUAUGUUGCAGAACGCGGCAAAUGUAUGCCUGGUACUUUCUAGGGAGUUUAAGCAGUUCGCAAUGUGGGCCCCACUCUCAACAGAAGAAGAGAAAGGUAAAGAAGGUUUUUAUUUAUUUAUAUUUAUUAUUUUUUUAAUUAAUUUUUUUAUAAGGCUAAAUUACUCUUUUUAAAAAAAAUUUAAAAUAAAAAGAAAAGAAAAGCAUGCCGCAUACUUUAUUUUUAUUUUUUUGUCUUUCGUGAGGUAAGGGGACGGAUGAGUAUUAUAUGGGAUUGCCUCAAGAUUGUCUCCAGUUUGAAUCAACUUUGAAAUUAAUUUUUCACAUAAACUUCUUAAAAAAUAUAUAUAAGAUGUUUCAUAUUCUUGCCAUCUGAAAACUUAAGGCAUUCCAUAGAUUACAACUUGAAUAGUACAUAUCAUCUGCUGUUUUUUAAUUUUCUAAUUGGAUCUCACAAACUUCUUGAGAUAUAGCAUCCUUCAAUGGGUUCUUCUCUUUCUCUUUGUUCUCUCCCCAGAGAGUUGUAGACAAACCAACAAUAAUCAAGGAAGCUCCUAAAAUACUGAAAAUGUUCACAAAUAAUAAAAUAUAUUUUAAAUUGAUAGCAACCCAGAAUUCCAAGUAAGUGAAUAAAAUAAAAAUAAAAAUUUCAUACCUUCCCAAGUAUAUAGCUUCUCUUAAAACGAAUAGCCCCAUUAUAGCUGCAACAAUUGUGGAUAGUGGUCUAAAUGCUGUCAUGAAAACUGGGCCUCUUGUUUUUACAACUAAUGUUUGCACAUAAAUGGUGAUUCCAAAAAUCAAAACUCCCUGCAAAAAUUUCACCUCAUCAAACUUCCAUGAGCAGAGAAUCUUUACCAUUUGACAGUUGAAGACCUCUUCAGAUUCUUACACUGUACAAAGGAGCAAGAAGUGUACUGUCCCAUGACAGCUUCCAAGAGGAUGCUUCAUGAUCUAGAAUUGCUGCCAUGAUCGCCGUGAGUAGAGUCCCCGAUAAGCACGUUAUCGAUGUAAGAGUAAUAGGUGCAGGAUACAUUUCGAUUGUUAUUGUCUGCAUCAAUCAAAUGUAUGAGUAUUGUAAGUAACUGCCAUGCUAACGGAAAGUUGUUCCUGUGACACUUUGUUUUUGGUUGUAGUGGUAGAAUAUGUGUGAAGCACCUGUAAGAUGUAGAAUGCUGAUGAGGAAAUAUAUGAAACAAGAAGAAAAAGGGAGCCCUUUAUCCAGUCUCUGUCUACGGAUGAUUUGGAAGUAGCAGAUUGAUGGGAGGCUUGAGUGUGCAUUGAAAUCACAGCAAUUCCCUUGUAUAGCGUCAUCAGUGCUGCACCGGCAAAGGAGAUAAGAGUUCCCCCAAUCUUGGCUUGGGUACCAAGCUUUGUAAUGUCAAAUUUUUCCAUCCUGAGUACAUAUCAUAGUGUAAAUCCUUAAAUCAGAAUGCAAUAAUGCUGUGAGUUCCUUUUUAUUUUCAGUGCAAAGGUAUGCUCAAAUGCAAUGGUGAUUGGACAUAUUGACCAAAUAUAUUUCAUACCUGCACACAACUGCUAUGAUAAAGGUAAUACAUGGAAUAAGGUUGCUCAUAGCAGCUGCAAUAGCUGGUGAAGUGUAUUCCAGUCCCAUGUAAUUCAAUGUUCUUCCCAACACUCCUCUGAAUUACACAGGAAGAUGCAGAAAAUUAAUAUCAAUUUUCAUUUGUCUGAUAAUUGUCCAACAUUAGUUGGGGAUGACUUGUUAAGAGGUUAACAAUUUACUCACCCCAGCAGGCCCAAGAAGAAGACAUUUCGAAUUAUCGGAACACUGAUUUUGCUCUCAUUUUUCCUGCACGAGAUAGGUUAUGGUUAAUCAGACGACAGAGGAUACUGUUCAUAUUGGAGGGGGUGCCAUAUUUUUAUGCAGGCUAUGGAUGAAAUCAAAUGGAAGUAAUUAGAAGAGUUGUGUUGCAAACUUCUAACAAGGCAACAAAUAAAGAAAGAGCUUUGGACUUUAGAAUCUUAGGACCAUGAGUUAUAAGAAGAAUGAAAACUAAUAGACCUCUCAAAAAGAAGUGCAAGAAGAGCAGUUGCUAGCGUUCCAAAAGCAUGGCCAUAAACCACAAGCACAUAACAGCUCAUGCCUUUGUCUAAAGAGACCUUAAUGACAACAGGGAACCCAGCAAAGCAGAUGUUAGCAAAUAUACAAAGAAUGUAAGGUUUUGACACCUCCCUCUUACUGCUUCCUCCUUUCGCCCUGUCGUCCUGCUCUUCCGUUUGCAUUUCCAUUUUCAUUUAGCAUGUUGUUUUCACCAUGACCCCAUUUUAUACCAAUUUGGGGGAAUUUAAGGAAGAAAAUUAUCUGCUACAGAUAAUUCUGUGUUUCCAGAACUCCUAAGAAGUUUUAUCAAGUUACAACUUUCUACCAAUUAAUCUACUUAAUUUAUUUUUGUGGUCAGCAUCAGCAUCAGUCUUAAUCUCACUUACAUACUCAACAUCAUACAUGACUUUCUCUUUGUCCUUCUGAUUGAUUUCAACACUCACCAAUCUUUCAUUUCCACAUACAACAUCAUUUGAUUAUUGUGACUUUUCCAAACAUUUUGUAGUGUGACUUUUCCAAACAUUUUGUAGAAGAAACGAAAACCCGCGAUUGGAGGAUGGUUCUAAUAUUCUUUACUUAUAUGAAGGGACACUUGAAAAUUUGUAGAGAUUAACCAUUCAAGUUCAAACAUUGCACCAAUAAUUUUCCCUUACCAGAACUAAAUUGAUUUUGAUAAUUGGGAUCACAUUUCUUAUAGAAGAAAAGAACAUCAAUUAUUGAAGAUUGGUUCAGAUAUAUCACAACAUAAAGGAACAGUAUCCAUUUGGGGGAUAUUUCUGUGUUCCUGAUAUAUCACUACUUACUUUCUUCUUCUUUGUUUUUUUUUCUUUUAAGAAGAGGAAAGUGCUUUGUGACACCUCAAGAACUAUUAUAAGAAGUGACUCAAUUAUGAGUUGGGUCUUACCAUAAGUUCCUCCUUAUGCGUUGUAGUUUUUAAUGUGCCCAAGCAGUGUUUUAUCAAGUUACAACUUUCUACUAAUCAACCUUUUAUUUGAUCUAAGCAGCUUGCUCAGAUAUGGCAUUGGCAAUGCUCAAAAUAGCUUCUUCUCCCUUUCUGGUUUGCCUUUCGCCCACGAAAUGUGUACGAGCAGUUAUCUAUGUAACUCACACGAUACUGAGAAUGUUCAAGAGUUGAAAGUGUAGGAUACCACAAUUCAAGAAUAUGCUCCUUCGCUGAGCAAUAGAUACAUGACUUAGAAUGCAUGCCCAACCAAAUAUGAAGAAGCUUGUAGGCUUAAAAGACUGUAUGUCUGUCUGUCAUUCAGGUUGAAUGAAUAUGAAUUACAGAGCAUGCUCUUUUUCUUUUGUUAGUUGGUUCCCCAAUAAAAAACAAUCCAAUAGUGCCAACAGGGCCUAGCCAAGUAUAAAAGAGUCUUAACUUGCAGGCUAAAAAUUUCAUGUUUGAAACCCAUAACAUCUUGAUUGAGCGUAUGAAAAAUCAUCUCCCUUAUAGUUUACUAUCAUUUGUGCUUUAAAAAAAACAAACAAACAAACAAUCCAGAGAAAUAUACAUAUUUUUUUAUGAUAGAGAAUUUGUUUUUUUUUCAUAGAACAUGUAUAGUGGGAGAAAAUUUCACAGUUCAAUCAACUCACCAACAAGCUAUUCUCUUUCCAAUAAUAAGUACCCAAAUGAGUGUUGUUAAACCCUUUUUCUAAAACCCUGCAAAUUAAAAUAAAUAAAUAAAUAACUUAAAAUAAAAUAAAAAUAAAAAACUCCAAAUCAAAAGCAGCCUCCUUCACUCCCCCUCUCUCCAUUUUUCUGAUUCCUGAUCGAAGCAAAGCAGUGAACAUGAGUGCCUAUCUCUCUCUUCGCCACCGCUCUUUCACUUACCUCAAUCGCCACCUCACAUCCUCACCCUUCUCCACCACCACCUCCAAACUCCCCACCCUUUACGAACCAGCUGCCGCCGCCACCCAAAACGACGACGUCCCCACCACAACCCUCCAACUCCUCUCAUGGGGCAGAGGCGCCUCGGGCCAACUCGGCGGAGGAAUCGAAGAACUUCGUCUCUACCCAACCCCUGUCGCCAACCUCGUCGUUCCCGCCUCAUCCUUCACCCUUUCACCAACCCAAGGCCGAAUUCAAAUACCCAAUUGCUCAGAAACAAAGAACAAUGCCCAUGGCAGUGUUGUAGAGGUGGGUAUUUCUUGUGGGCUUUUCCACUCGUCGCUGUUGGUGGAUGAAAAGCUCUGGAUUUGGGGUAAAGGCGAUGGCGGUCGACUUGGGUUUGGACAUGAGAAUUCUCUGUUUCUGCCCACUUUGAACCCGCAUUUGGAUUCGGUUCGCUUCGUAGCGCUUGGUGGAUUGCAUUCUGUUGCGCUCACCUCCCUCGGCCAGGUCUAUACUUGGUCAGUACAAUAGUAAAGACUAGGCAUUUCUUGCAUUUCAUCACAUGUUGAGUCGCAUUACAUUUUGUUGAUUGCAAUAGUUGGGUUCUCUUGUUUUGGUUUUUUUAUCUGCACAAACAUUUAUGCUUUUUUCUUCUUGGAAGAAGAAUAGCAAUAUGGUUGCAAUGAGCAGAUUCCGUCCAUAGCUUGUAAAGUUUGUAUCAAGGGUAAUAGUUUCUAGUCUCGACUAUGUGCAAUUCAAGGUGGUGUUUGAGGAAGAACUGGCCCAAUUACAUUUGCUUGUCAUGUGUUGAAAGACCGAUUUGCUAUUUUAACUCUCCAACCCACAUCAAUUUUACCACAGUCCGCUUCUUCUAUCCAUUUGAUAUAAUUAUUGUUUUCAUGUCCACUGCAAAUCUUUUAUGUUCAUUGACCAUAUUGCUCUAUUGAUUCAUGCUUUUGGUUGGAUAACUUCAUGGUUGUCGUUAAACAUGAAGCUUGCAGGGGUUAUGGUGGUUUUGGUGCACUUGGACAUUCUGUUUAUACUAGAGAAUUGUUCCCUAGAUUGGUGGAAGGCUCAUGGAGUGGGAAAAUACAUCAUAUUUCAACUAGUGGGACACAUACUGCUGCAAUCACGAAAUCAGGUUUGUUACUGGGAUCUUUCAUUGGAGUAAAGUGGUACUGUCUGGGUGCAACAAAUUAAUGGACUCUAACCAAGAGGAUAGGAAUAACUUAAACUAGUAGUGGAAGUAUGUUGCAGAUGACAUGCUUUUUCGGUUUCUUACUCCUUUCUGGCUUUAAGCAUUUAUUGUUGUUUCCGGGAUGAAGAUUUAUGUUUACGUGUUUGAUUUGUCAUUAGAUAUCUGGGUAUUACUCAUUGGAUGUAGCAUGUAGGAGAACUUUAUACUUGGGGUCGAGAUGAAGGGGAUGGUAGAUUGGGACUUGGUCCUAAUCGGGGCCCAAAUGAGGGUGGUGGACUAAGCAUACCCUCCAAAGUAAAAGCAUUACCUGUGCCUGCGGCUGCUGUUUCUUGUGGAGGGUUUUUCACAAUGGUACUGACAGAAGAUGGGGAACUUUGGAAUUGGGGAGGUAAGGUUGUCACAUCUCAUGUGGAAAACUUGUUAUAAAAGAGUUAUUUAUAAACCACCACCACCCCUCCCCCCCCCCCCCAAAAAAAAAAACAACAACAACAAAAAGCAUGGAUUGACCUAAUAUACUGUAACAACAUAAUUCCAAUGCCAAAUAAGUGUUAUUAAAUUAUUGUAAGAAAUGGUGUUAUAGUUUUCAAAUGUUCUCCCAGAUAUUUGCUUCAUUAGUCAAUGAGCUUGUGCAAAUGAAUUUCAAUUUGCAGAUUUGACAAAUGGAGAUUGUCAUAAGGGGGUGGUAUUUAGUUUAUUUUAGAGAUCAUAAAGUCAUUGGUACUUCUAUAAUGAGUAGCAUUCUUGUUACUCUUCAGUAAGGGGUUAUCUAAUUGGCUCUUGAUGUUAUUGUCAUCUUUGACUUUGACUGACUUCUAAUUGCUCCACUUUUGUGAAGCUAAUUAUCGUGUUUUCUUGGUGUUUACUCAGCAAACUCUAACUAUGAGCUUGGAAGAGGCAAUAAGGUUGGUGGUUGGCAACCAAAACCAGUUCCUAGUCUUGUAGGUGUCCGUAUCAUUCAGAUAGAAAGUGGUGGAUAUCAUUCUCUUGCGUUAACUGGUAAUGUGACAGCCGUGUCUCAUGAUUGCAGCAACAGCACUUGCUGUCUUUAUUUCUUGAAAGGUUAAGUCUUAUGUAUGGCCUUUCUUUCUUGAUGUUUAAUUUUUUUAGAUGAAGGUAAAGUGCUUUCAUGGGGACAUGGUGGGCAUGGUCAGUUGGGCAACUCUUCUAUCCAAAGUCAGAAAACACCUACAGUUGUUGAGGCUUUAACUGACGAGCGUGUCAUCUAUAUUGCUUGUGGAGGUUCAUCUUCAGCAGCUAUAACAGGUCAGAUGAUUCUUGUGUUCUCAGAUACUGUAAUCUAUUAGGUCUUAAAAAUAUUUUGUUACGUCGCUCAAAUGUGUAAAUGCUGUGCAGCCUCUAAUUACAUUCCACCAGGGUGUCUCUUUACAGUGAGUAAUGUGCUCCUGUAGUUGACACACAUGUUGAUUUUUUCUUUAACGAUUUAUUCAUCCAAUAGAAGAUUUGUAUUCGGCCAUGCCUUUUCAUUUGGUUUGCUAUGCGUUGGUAGUGUUGGGGAUUGAAACUGAGACCAAAAGAAAGGAUUAAUUUAGAAUAUUCUGGAAACAACUGAAGACUUAAAGGACAUCGGAUUAAGAGCAUCGAUAAUUCUUGGUUGCAUAAUUCAAGAACAUGGUUAGGCUGAUGUUCGGACCUGGUUCAAACUAGCUUACUUCAUAUUUUCAUGCAUUUCCGAUUUGAAAUUGAAUGCCCCCGCCUUUUGUUCCGUAACAGAUAAAGGAAAGUUGUAUAUGUGGGGAAACACCAAAGAUUCUCAAUUAGGAGUUCCUGGGCUUCCAGAGAUACAACCAUCCCCUGUUGAAGUCAAGUUCUUAAUGGAGGAUGAUGGAUUGGGACCCCACAAUGUGCUGUCUGUUGCAGUUGGUGCUUCUCAUGCCAUGUGCUUGGUUUCAAGGUCUGACUGUUUCAGUGUGAUAAUUAUUAUGAUUUUCUUUUUUCUUUUUUCUAACGUAUAAAUUCUGUAACAGGGAUGGAAUGUCCAACUGAGCUGAAAUGGAGGAGAAAAUGGAUGGAUAGCUAUGAUUCAGAGGUUAAACUGAUUCAAGAUGAUAAAUAUUAUUCAAGUGAGAAAGAGUAGACUUCUAGCCAGGAGAGAGUGAGAGACGAACAAAUGCUAUACAGGAGAUCAAAUGUGAGCACAUUUGAGCGCCAGAAGUUGCUGCCCCUACUCCGUCUGGCAUUAGUACCGCAACAAUUUGUGCAAAACUCUAUGAAACCUCACUUCGAAAUGCAACGGCUCAACGCCGUUCUGCAAGGAUAUGCUGACAAUUGACAGAACUCAGUUAUUGUAAACACAUGAGAGAUUUCCAGGUUCUUUAAAUUAUUGGCAGAGAUGUAGUGCCCCAUAUUCUCUCCGAGUUACUAGAAUGCCUCAGGCUGGGAAUUUGGCCCAACUCUUUACUUCGUUUUUGUACUACUUUUGACUGGGGCUGUUCAGAUACUAACUGCAGUUCAGAUGAAUAAUCUGUUCCAAAUCAAAAUAAACUUUGUUUUGUGUUCUCAUGAUUUCUUUACCUACUUGUGGGUUUUUGGAAGUGUUUUUUUCCUUCCCUUUUUGUGAUAUAUUUUUUGGGUAAAACCUGCAUACGGGUUGUAUCUGUGAUUAGCUUGGUACCUUCACCAUCAAAAAUGGACCCUACGGUUUCUAAACAUCAUGGUACAUUCACUUGGCUUGCCUUCACAGCUAUCAUCUGCUGAUGUGAAUGAGCCUUCACUUGUCGCUGUAUAAUGGAAACCCUAUGGUUUUGUAGCUUUCAUGACACAGUUGCUCAUCAUGUUCCUUGGCUCCGUCUUUCUUGUGGCCCCUAGAGCAAUUGAGCACAAGCAUUAACUUGUAGGAUUUCACUAAGAUUAACCGCCCACGUCCGCGGGUGAUCUAAUGUGAGUCUCUUAAUAAUCAAUGAUUAGAAAUCAUUUACACAUAUAGGCGACUGAUCUUAGCAUACUCUUAACCUAAAUAUAUUGAUGAUACGAAAUCAAAAGAAAGACCGUUGUCCUCGUCCACUCGUGACUAUUGGCUCUAGGUGGUGGCUUGGCUCUUGGGUAAACUUCAUUUUUUGCUCAUAAGAUGAAACGGGUUUUGGUUGUCUUUGAUCCCCACAGUCAAAGGAGACAGUGUGCACAAUGUGGACCACCAAGCUGCAUGCUGCGAUCGUUUGGUGCGUGACAAACUUCAAUCAUUUCACUAUGUUUUGGCUACAUCUUAUUCACACCUCUCACGACAAACAUUUACGAACGGGGCUUUGGCCCCAUUAAUAUUUGCCUCGGGCUAUGGCCCCAUUAAUAUUUGCCCCUUCCUUGCAUGAUUCCAAAUCUCAACGGAACGGAAGGGAAAUCACUACAGACACCCUCUUGAUUUGUCAGGUGUUUUUAUCACAGCAAUCGUGUAUGUACAUGACAUCUAGUAAAUAAUUUGUGUAAGUAGACGUAGGUGAGUUGGUCAGGUAGUAAAUCUGCUUUUUUACGCUCAAGUUUGAGUUUUAUUUUUACUAGCCUCUCUGCACGCGCUUCUGCGCAUGCGAGAGGUUUUUUUUAAAAAAAAUUUAAAUUUAUUUUAGAAUUAAAAAAGAUAAUGGAUAUUUGUGUUCCAUAAAAAUAUGAUCCAUUAUCUGAAUUUUCUUUUAAUUUUAAUUUUUUUAAUACGAAAAAUUGUGAAUUUACCAUAUUAUCCUCAUUUAAUUAAUAAUUUCAAUUCUUAAUAUUUGCAUUAACCAAGGGUAUUUUCUGGUAUUUUGAAUGUUUCACCAUUCUCUGCCUUUUGCUUUAUAUAUAUAGAUAAAUUAGAUUAAUUUAAACUAUCAUUUGCAUAUAAAUAAAAUAAAAAAAGAUAAUUUGUGUAAUCUCAUAUCUUUCGCUCAACACAUAGCACAUCGCAUUAUAAAAAUCAGAGGAAUGCUAUAAGACAGUGUGCGUCAAGCAUUAGAUUUAUGUGGAUUCAAAUUAUGGAUCUCAUUACUAUCGACAUUUGAGAGUUCACUUAGGCAAAUACAUUCACGCAUGCAACUCUCUCUAUUAUAACUUUGAAAACAAAAGAAGAAAAAAAAUAAAAAAUUCAAAUUGUAUCGUGUUACAAUUGAUGGUAAUGAGUUGAUUAUAUGAUCAGCUAAUCAUAUAUAAUUAAAAAUAUAUAUAUAGAAACAAAAAUAUACAACAAGAAAUGUAAAUUUUCUUUUACUAUUAACACGUAUGUCUGUCAUGGGACACUUCCCUUACAGGUUUACGCAAACAAAUAUGAACACAAAUCAAAACAAACGUUCAAAAUAAAACCCUAUAUGGAAAAUAAAAACUAAUAAUGUUAUGUAGGACAAGCUUCCCUAAUAUACGCUUAAUCAUGUUAAUUGCCGAUCAAUCACCAAUGUGUAUCAAGUGAUUGAUCCUAGCCGUAAGUGAACACCGAACACUGCGACGCCGGCCUCGACAGCUCCGUUCCCGCACUGGCCGGGCACGCCUCCAUCCCCACCUGGGGCACCAUGCAGUUGUAACUCAAGCACAACGACACCGUAUCGGGCAACAUCGACCCCGGCUCAACAUGGAACCCGGAUAAGUAAUUGUGCUGUAAAUACAAUGUUCUGGUGGUGCCCACGUACACGCUCUUAACGUACUCCCUCGGUACGUUCCCAAUCAGACGGUUGUUAUUCAAAAACAAGCUCUCCACCCCCGCCAGGAUCGGCGACAGCUCACCCGUUAUGGAGUUGUGGCUCAAAUCCACGAUCGAGCCCUCGCCGUAGGAUGGGGGCUGGGACUCCACGGGCGGGACCCACCCGGAGAGAUUGUUCCGUUGCAACAGCAGCGACUGGAGUGUGGUACGGAACAGAGUUUGAGGGAGGGGUCCACUGAGACGGUUCAUGCCGAGAUCGAGGUGGACUACAUCGGCGAGCGAGUCGAAGAGGGAGCCGAUGGGACCCGACAUUUCGUUUUCCGAGAACGACAAGUAACGGAGCGUCGUCGGGAGAGAGGGCGGUAAGGGACCGGUGAGCUUGUUGCGUUUUAAGUCCAGGUGAAGGAGUUGAGACAACACGUCGUGCGGCAGCUCGCCGGAGAGGGAGUUGGAGGCGAGGAUGAGGACUUUCAGAGCCGGUAAACGGGUCAGACCCGAGGGGAUUGACCCGGUGAGCCGGUUGUAGCUGAGGUCGAGGGUGUGGAGGUUGGAGAGGAGAGAGAUGGUCUGGGGAAUCGGACCGGUGAGGCGGUUGUUGGUUAACGAGAUGACUCGGAGGUUGGCGAGUCGGCCGAGUUGGAACGGGAUUGGACCUGUGACGAUUCCGGGGAAGAGGAUGAGCUGAGUCAACUCGGUGAGGUCGGCGAGGGAGGGAGGGAGCGACCCGGCGAGGCCGGGCGAGUCGGAGAGGCCAGUGCCGAGAGUGAGGGUGGUGACUCGGCCGGAGGUGCAGGUGACGCCGGAGAAGGUGGAGCAGGGAUCUGGUGCGGCGAAGUCCCAGGUGGAGAAGAAUGCUGUGGCACCUCGGAAGGGGACAUCGGUGAGGGAGUUCUUGAUGGCGGUGAGGGCGUGGAGAUCGACGGUGCUGAUUUUCUGGUUUUGUUGUUGAUGCGACGGUGGAGUGAGAUUGAGAAGGAGGAGGAGGAGAAGAAGAAGUGGAAGUGGGAGUGAGGAGUGUGCAUGUUGUUUGGCCGCCAUGACCAAAAAACCACGAGAGAGAGAGAGGAAGUCAAAAUUGGUGCGGUUUCAUGUAAACCGUAAGAAUGGGGUAUGAAGUGAUGAUGGAUGUAACCGUUGCCUUGCGUAAUGGCGUUAUGGCCCAACCCAUUUAUUUGAGUCACCUUUCUUGGACUUAUUAUAAGAGCGCUAGUUACUUCAUUUACUCGCUACAAUAAUUACCACUGACUACAUCUUUCACACCUGUAGAACCUUACUUGCACACAGUGUGGAUGAAUCUCACUCCAUUGCUUGAGACAGUCGUACCUCUCAAUUGUUAAUGCAUGUGCGGUUCGAAUUUCAUCAACGAUUGAAAAUCACUUACUCGUAUGUGUGAUUAUUUUCAAGCGAAAUCAAUGUGUAUAAUUUGAGUGUUUUACCCCUCGAAUUAAACUGAGAAUAGUGGUCCUCUGAGUUGGGCAACUUUUGAGGUGCAUAAAAUAUGUCCUCUAGGAUCACUCUUCGCCACUUUUGGUGGUUAGGACUUAGGGGUUGGUUAAUUGGUUGGACAACUUAGACUAAAAGUACUACUACUUAAGUGUUAGGCUUGGCUUUGCUGUCAACCUUUUUUUAGCAUUAUUACUUAAAAAAUUAAGAAACGUUUUUGCAAUUAAGAGAUUGAUGGAAUCAUAGUAAUGAAAAGCAGAGAAAGUUCACCCACCAUGACCAUUGACCAUGCUCUGUUCUCUUGUAAAUUCAGGUUUGAAUCUUUGCUGCCUGCACCAUUUUGUUCUUUUAGAGCAUGCAGAGCAGAUGGAUCUAAAAGAAAAAGACCCACUUGGGCCACUUCAUGCUUCAAAGAGCAAACUCUUUUCUUCCCAUUUCCCAACCAAUAUACAUAAAAAUGUAAGUUAAUUAGUGAUUAGAGCUAGCAAAACCAAGCACUUAGCACUAAUCCACACACCUGGUAGACUUGUUUACUGACAGUUAGUGAAUGACCUAAACUUAAUGCAGACAAAAAGUUGAUGAAAAAAAAAAAAAAAACAAGAAGAAGAAAAAGACCAGAGUCUAGCUGCUACACCGAUCACUGCUUCCCAACUUAGCUAUUAGUUAAUGGGAUGUCUUUAGAUGCACAUGGGGAGAGGUGUGGGCAAACAUCAAUAUUCACCCCAACAGUGGUCAAACUAUGCACGUACAAUAUUCUAAUUUUACCCAUAAAAUACAUUAGCAUAUAUAUAACACAUUGUUUAUUGCCAUUAAAUUAGGCACCAUGAUGCAUAUAUAGAGAUCCAUAGACAGCUCAGAUGGAAACUUCGUGACGCCACUGCGGGAAAGAUUCUCCCACUCCUCACUAAUUUAAUUUAUAUUGGGCAUUUUGUAGAUGUAGGUUAGGCUGAGUUAGAUCAGUUGGUAAUGGCAGUGAAUCCGUUCUCUUGCACUUAAGUUUGAAUCAAUGUCUUUGUAAAUUAGAUUAAUUUAGAAUAAAUUAUCGCUUGUAUCAAAAGUUCAUAUUGGGCAUUUAAGUGAGUACCAUGAGACAAGUAUUACCAAAAUAGAGUCAUUCUAUAAUGAGGGCUUUAUAUAUGGCCCUUAGAUGAGAUUCUAUCUUUAAUUGUUGAAUUAAAUUAAUUAAUUUUAUUCAACAAUUAAGAGAUAAGACAUCACGUAAAAGUUAUAUACAAGGCCCUCACUAUAGAAUUCUUGGACCAAAAAGAAAGAAAAAAGAAAGUUUUGAAGGAAGUUGAGCUUAGGCAGCUUUACGUGGGUGUGUAUAUAAAAGUUGACGACCCACCAAUGGAUUAUGGAUGGUCCACUGCUUUAGAGAAAAUGUUUUGGUGGAUCUUUCUCAAGCAGUGUGGGUAGGUCCAGUGCAAUUUUGUAAAAGGCUGCAAAAUGAGCAUGCCGCAUGUCCAAUAUAAUGAAGGAAUGAAUUGGAACUCAAGGAAUAUCUAGCUACCAUCACUACUAAGUUAGGAUUUUAAGUUGGUUUUUUAAGGCUACUUUUUGGGGUAAAAGAGCUCGAGACAAAGCUUGCAUGUUAUGCUAUGGGUUUUUUUUGUUUUUUUUAUUUAUUUUUUAUACGAAUGAUAUUGGGAAGGGAGGAAUCUAAUCUAGGACCAUAAGUGCAAAGGGGUAAAAUGUGAAGCCAGAAAAUUUGAGAUGUUAAGGUGGGUUGGGCCUCCAAAUGGCUCGGGUCCUACGUGCGUGGGAAUAUAUAUUGGGCUUUAUUUUCUUGAAGUCUACCAACAUAACCCUAAACAAAUUUAGGAAAAUAUAUGCAUGCAUGGUUUUAUCCUUCUCAAAACCGUUCAUAAAAAUUUACAAAUGCAGUAGAGGAUCGAGGAAUUCAAACCAUAAAUGCAGUUCCCUAUGGAGAGCUGAAAAUGCAGGGGUGAUCUUUGGUUCCAGGAAUAAAUAGUGAAACCAUUCUUCAACGAAAUGCUCACAGAGCUUCUAAACCAAUGAUUAUCCCCUCUUUCCCUAAUAACCAACAUAAGACAUCUAAACCAAAUGAAGAAAUGCUUUUACUAUCUAAACUAUCAACUCUCACUCACAUCACAUACCGAUGCUCAAAUGAAUUAUUACCACAAAGCCUUUCCCUAGCAUUGGUCAGUAGUAACACAAGCACAUUAAUCAUUUCCCUCUCUUUUCAACUUCUGACAUGUCAAAAAGAGAACAUUUCGUAAACAUACGCAGCCCGCACGCAAGCACACAGUCCUACACUACAUAUAUAUGUCCAUGAUUUUCUCAUAUUAGAAUCCUCUGAGAUGAGUGCCAGACUUUGUGCUAGGACCACCAACACAGUGCUAGCUGACCUCCCUCUUCCCUCGUCAUAUCAUCCUUGUAAUCCUGUUUAAGCAUCGAUUGAGCCGCUUGGUUGUUCGCACCAAUCACUGCAGCCUUCCAGCCAGCAUAGUUUCCACUAGGGUCACUCAAGUAAAGUUGAAAACCGAAAUUCUUGUCCCCAACCCGCAAACAAAAAUGAAACACCAAAGGGCCGGAGACCACCAAACUGUGUGUAGCCCUGCUUAGUAUCACAAAGAGAUUGAACAAGCUGCUCAACGGGCAUUGGUUCUUGGUACGCAAACAUAUAGCGCUGAGCCUGGACCCUAGAAGUGUUUAUCAGGAUGUUGGCAUCAGACAUUAUGCCAGCCACAGCACAAGCAACAUGAUCAUAAAUCUUGUGUUGGAUAUUUAUUCAUUAUUGUUAUUUGAUUUAUUUAGUUAAUUUGCUUCUGCUAAUAAUCCCUAUUUACCAGGAAACAUGGUUAGUGUUUGACCUGAUCUUUAGGAGAAUCCCAAUAGUCUAGGGUUGUUAGACGUGAGAUAUUUUGUUGCUUAAUUUUCUGAUUACUUGUUCCCUGUACGACUAUUUAUGCCAGUCUUUGGAGUCAAUGAAUGAUAGAACAUUCACUCAGACUUUCGCACUCUUUAGCUUUCAAAGUUCUAGUUCUUAACAUCUUGUACAUUUUCUCAGUGGAAGUUGUGGAGUGGAGGAGUUUGGAUGUGACUUUCUUCUCACCAACUAAGAUAACCCCAUCUUUUGACAAAAUCCCAAUUGCAGUACCCGCAUUUCCAAUGGCCUCCAUUGCAUACUCAACUUGGUAGAGACGACCCUCAGGGGAAAAGAUGGUUGUACGGCUAUCAUAUCUCCUAGACAUCUUUGAUAAUAACUGUGAACGUUUGUGAAAUAAUGGUAUUAAAUUUUAUCAUUUUUUUCUUCUGAGAUAAUGGUAUUCAAUUUAUAUAAGAUGAAACAAGGGAAACCCAGAAAUCCAAAUAUGAACACAGUUAAAAAUUCCAACAGCUCAAGGUUUUCUACAAUCCAACAAAGCCAAAUAGCAUCAAUUGGGUAGCAUACAUAUGUGAAAUACUGAAAAAUCACAAAUCAGAUGCAAUAAACAUUAAAAUUAAUAAUAAUCACAAGACGCAAAUUAAAAAUGAACUUGGUCGAAAUUGAGACAAUGUAAGCAGCCCCAUCGCACAAACUAAUUGAAAUGACAAUCAUACAAGAAUACGGGCCUUACCCAGUUUCGCUUGCUCUCUCUUGGUUCAGAUGCUUGACAAAGUUUACGCCUUUUGCCGCCUACUCAGCUCUCAGCUCCCUAUUCUAGUAUUCUUCUUCUUCCUCCCCAAGAAAUAACCAAGGCUUUGUUUGCUCUGGCAUCCGGGGCUCCGAGUAGGGGCCUUUGUAGAAAUUGGGUCAAAACUCUGAGGCCGAAAGUAUCGGCCUUUUUUUACACGGGUAGCCCAAACAUUGUUGCUUGCGCAGGUAACCCAAUAAUAUUCAAUUGUCUAGGCUCAACUAUUUCAGUGGACCGGAGUGUUUUUUAGGUCGAAAGUGGACCGGAGUUAAGUCCAGAUAUUUGAGGUAAAUCUUUUAGGGCUCGUUUGGUACGUCGGACUGUACUGACUAAUUUUCGUCGGAUAGUAUUAAUUUAUUUCGGAGAGUACUGACUAUUUAUCCAUAAUAUUAUAAGGCGUUUGGUGCUGUUCCGGAUAAAUAAUUUGACUAAGUUAUACUGUGUUUGGUGAUGUUUCAGAUAACAUCAUAUCAGACUAUUUAUAAAUAAAAAAAAUAUAAAAUUUUUUUUGAUAAUUUUAAUGGAAAUUGAGAUUCAAAUGACACAAAUUUUUUUUGGUAAGAUUCAUAUGACAAUAUUUGUUUUUCAAUUGUUUUUGCCAAGAUUUUUUUUCAUAUAACCCAUUAUCAUAAUUGUAGUAUCUCAUAAAAAUUCCAACAUACUCGCAUACGUUAAUAAAAACAGUAUCAAAUAAUGUAUAAUUCAAAGUGAUCACAUAUUAAGGUAAUAAGAGCAAAAGAGAAAGUUGUUCAUAAACCAAACUACAUCAAAGAGUGAAUCACAACUCCCUCGCCUCAAGUAAGAGAAAAACAAAUGCUUUUCUCAUAGCACCAUCCACUGUCAGGAAUAUUUUUUUUAUCAUUUGCUUUCUCCAAAAUUAGCCGUAGUGCCUUAAUUUGGUCAUUAAUAGACAAGUCCAUCUUUGCUUUUCUAAUAACAAUUGACAAAGAAAAAAAAAUGGUUCUUAGAAUUCAGUUUCAUACAUUUUUAAUUUUAUAAUUUUGCUCUUCUAGUCGUCAGGUAUGUAUGUAUUCAACUAAACUACCAAUACUAGCACAGUUGUUUGUUUUUGGAUGAAAACUGGCAAUACUCUGUUUAAUACCAACAAUCUAAAUAUUCCCACAACGUCGAAUCACUAUAUCACAUACAAAAAAAACAUUCGAUUAAAAAAAGUACCAAAAAAAAAAAAUUCAUAACCUAAUUUCUACUAAAAAUUUGAAAUAUAUAAAGCAUAUUGGAGAGAGUAUGAAAAAAGAGAGAAAGUGAGUGAUGGAUACCUGGAGAAGAGUGAAGAAAAUAACAUGUGGAGAAGAUAGUAGAGAACAACCCUAGGGAGAAGAAGAUGAAAAGAGCAUCUGAUUUUUUUUGUAGAACUCGUGUUCUUUUUCCCUAGCCUUAUAAUUAAGCGUGUAUUAUCUAAACCGGGGUGUGUGGGUUGUAUUAGUUAGUUAGGUAAGGAGAGUAUUAAAAGCCCAACCCGUAUAAAAUAGUCGGGUAAUUAAAUAAUACAAGUUGACACCAAACACCUGACAUAGACUAUUUACUCAUAUCCAGAGUCUAAUACGAUGUACCAAACGAGCCCUUAGCUGUUAUAAAAUAAUCUGGAAUACGUGCGAAUAUUGAGCUGCACGUAAAGUAGAUGAGACACAGUAUUUAGCGAGGUUCGGCUAUGCCUACAUCCCCGGAGAGCAGCAGUAGUAACUUUUCCACUAUGUAAAAUAAUAGGGCUACAACUUUAGAGUUUACAAUAUGUGAGGCUCACUGAAUUUUCUCUCUGCUCACUCACCCUAUUUCUUCCUUCUCUUCCUCCUUUCUCUUUCUUCUCUCUUUCCUUCUUUCCUUUUCUUCUCUCUUUCCUCCUUUCCUUUUCUUCUCCCCGUUUCCUAUCUCUUUCUCUCUUCUUCUUUUCCUCUUCUCUUUCUCUCUUCUUCUUUCUCUAUUUAUAGACAUGUUAAAUGGCACCCGUGUUUCUACAAUACACAUCCGUGAGUGUGCAGCCAAAUACUUUGCUUAAUUUUCUUUGUGGGCCCCAUAAAUGUGGGCUCCACAUGUUUCUUCUUUACAACAUUAGCAAUUUCUUUUGGAGAAAAAAGAGAGGGAAAGCCAAGGAAAGAGAAAUUUUUAAAGAAGUCAAAUGGACAAAUGCCUUGUGAUAUAUAGGUUAAAUUGUAGCUAUGGUUUCUGAAAUAUAGUCCGAGUUGUAUUUUCAUCUUUCAACUUCAAAAAUAGGUGUUUUCCAAUAGGUCUUGCAUUGCAGCGUUUAUCCUUUACGUCAAGUCUGUCUAAUUUACCUCUCAAAAAGUCAACUAAAUUGAUAAUUGUAUACCUCAAAUUGAUGGAAUUUAACGAAAUGACCAAUUUGACAUAUGUGAGAGAGUUGGAGGAUGAGUAAAACUAAAAAAAUUAGUUGAAUGAUCAAAAUGAAACCGGGUAUGACCAUUCGAUNNNNNNNNNNNNNNNNNNNNNNNNNNNNNNNNNNNNNNNNNNNNNNNNNNNNNNNNNNNNNNNNNNNNNNNNNNNNNNNNNNNNNNNNNNNNNNNNNNNNNNNNNNNNNNNNNNNNNNNNNNNNNNNNNNNNNNNNNNNNNNNNNNNNNNNNNNNNNNNNNNNNNNNNNNNNNNNNNNNNNNNNNNNNNNNNNNNNNNNNNNNNNNNNNNNNNNNNNNNNNNNNNNNNNNNNNNNNNNNNNNNNNNNNNNNNNNNNNNNNNNNNNNNNNNNNNNNNNNNNNNNNNNNNNNNNNNNNNNNNNNNNCAAAAAUCUUGAACUCCUUUUAAGAAACUUUUUUGAACCAUUAGAUUAAUAUCUAACGGUGAGUAAUCACAAUCUCUUGGACUCCUGUGGUCCAAGAGAUCAAGACUAUUAAAAAAAGAUAACACGAGCAGUUAUGUUUCAUAAAAGUAGGAUCUAUUAUUUAUUUUAAUUUUUAAUUUUAAUUUAUUUUAAUAUGAAAAAAUAUAAAUUUACUAUAUUAUUCUCAUUUAAUUAAUAAUUUCAAUUCUCAAUUCUUAAUUAUUAUCCUCAUCGAAGUGUUGCCUUGGCUGCUGCUGAAUUGGUUUAUAUAGCUAAAAUGUUUAAAGACAUUGGCUUCUUUCUAGGCACUCCUCCUCUUCUCUGGGUGGACAAUCAACUGCUAUUUCUUUGGCUUCUAAUCGUGUGUUUCAUACCAGGACUAAACACGUGGAGGUUGAUUAUCACUUCACACGAGAAUUGGUGCAAAAUGAUUAAUCAGCUUCCUGACAUUUUUACAAAGUCUCUAUCUUCCUCUCUUUGUGUAUCUUCCAUCCAAGCUUUCAGUUUGUGACACUACCUUCAGCUUGAAGGGGCUGAUAGAUAUAUCUCCACAUCUAAUUCUAGCCUUUCAUUAUAGAGUUGUUAAUUUCUGUUUAGCUUUAUUUUAAUAAAUUGUAAAGCUGUCAUUAAUGUACAUCUAUAUUAUUACAAGUGUAUAUAAACAAUUCAAUGUAAUCAUUAUUGUUUAAUAAAAUGAGAAUACAAUUUUAGUUUUCUCACAAAAUAUUGAAGGAGAAUUAGAAAGUGGAAAAGUCAAGAAGUAGAGGAUUAGUGUCAGGACUUUUAGGCCUGAGGAAACAGUACUGAAGUUGACAAUGAGUAAGAGAUUCUUUGAUAUUAGCAAAACUAACACGACAAACAUGCCAAAUGUUGGGAUUUUGGGUGACUGAUUUUGAAAUUAAAAUGUUGUAGUGGUGACGUUGUCGAAAAUGUUAGGUGAGAGAAGAACAUAUCAUGUAUUCAUUUUCUAGCCAUCUAUAAAUUGUUUUUUUUAAAUAAAAACAUUAACAACAUUACAUGUAAAACUUGACCCCAAAAAUAAAUAAAUAAUUACAUGUAAAACAAUUGAGUGAUGGGGGCCAUUGCAUUAUUCCCCUUUGGAUUUAUGCAUGCAGGAGGAGCUAGUAGGCUUCGCAUUUAUGGGUAGAAUGGACAUUAUUGGACAACCUUAGGUAUGCAUAUAUAGGAAAACGUCCAAAAUCCAUAAAGUUGGGACGUACGUGGUGGUGCAUGCAUGUUGGUAUUUGAUAUUGAUAUUUUAUUCCCACCCAAAAUAUUACAAACGAAUGCAGUCAAAAAAUAACUCAAAACCAGUGCACACUCGCGUCACGUGCUUCUGCAGACACAAACUAGUAAGCAAUUCACAGAGGACAUAGCCACAGAGGGGGAGCAGAUCGAUGCAAAUUAUUAAGUUUUUCUUUAAGCCAAAAAACUCAGCACCGACAUGACUUAAUAAUUAAGAUUACCACAGUAUAUCGAUCUGAUACACUAUCAGAUAAACAAAAAACAAAACAACAAAUUACAGAAAUUGAUCCCUCAAGAAGUAGAUUUCACUUCCAAGCUUUCACAUGCUAUUAAUUAUUAGCUGACACAUAUUAUGCUAAUCAAUUAAACCACAGUGACCACUAAUUGGGAUAUUUAGAACUGUGCUGUGGUGAUGAUCAACUUCAACUAUGCAGGGCACUGGAAUCCAGAGGGUGGAGUUUUCCCACAGUCAAUCAGAACCUGAAGAGCGAUGGGGAUGAUGAUGUUGAUGUUGAGAAGCUUAGCCUUGAUGGUGGUGCAAAGGCAAAUUGCAGCAUCCAAGUCCACCAGCCCUUGAAGCACUGGACAGCAUGCAUCCUUGGCACUGCUGCCAAUUCCAAUGUGAAUGAGGCCACCCAACACAUCCACACAAGCUCCCAACUUGAGAGUGUCGAUGGGACACGUGUUCUUUGGUGGUGAUGGGGUUGGCACUGGUGUUGGUGGUGGUGGAGGAGGACAUGGUGUCUCAGUGGGUGGAGGAGGCUUAACUGGUACAACUGGGGUAGGUGUAGGUGUUGGUGGGCUUGGUGGUACAACAGGUGGUGAUGGUGGUGGCUUAACUGGUACAACUGGGGUAGGUGUUGGUGUUGGUGGGCUUGGUGGUACAACAGGUGGUGAUGGUGGUGGCUUAACUGGUACAACUGGGGGCUUGGGUACAUAGGGUGGUGGGGGUUGUACAACUGGGGGCUUGGGUACAUAUGGUGGUGGUGGUUGUACAACUGGGGGUUUGGGGAUGAAGGGUGGGUGCACAAUUGGGGGUUUAGGGAUAAAAGGUGGGUGCACGAUUGGGGGCUUGGGGAUGAAGGGUGGGUGCACAAUUGGGGGCUUGGGGAUGAAGGGUGGGUGCACAAUUGGGGGUUUAGGGAUGAAGGGUGGGUGCACAAUUGGGGGUUUAGGGAUGAAGGGUGGGUGCACAAUUGGGGGUUUAGGGAUGAAGGGUGGGUGCACAAUUGGGGGCUUGGGGAUGAAGGGUGGGUGCACAAUUGGGGGCUUGGGGUGGGGUGGUGGUUUGACAAUAGGAGGCUUGGGGAUGAAGGGAGGUCUCACAAUAGGUGGUUUGGGGACAGAAGGAGGUUUUGGUAUAUGGGGAGGAUAUACAAUGGGGGGUUUGGGGCCAUGAGGUGGCUUGGGUACAUGGGGUGGAUGAGGAUGAGGUGGCUUUGAUGGUGGCUUGGGAACAUAGGGAGGCUUUACAUGAGGGGGAUGGGGUGGUUUUGAUGGUGGUUUGGGAACAUAGGGAGGCUUUACAUGAGGAGGAAGAGGUGGUUUUGAUGGUGGUUUGGGAACAGAGGGAGGCUUUACAUGAGGGGGAUGAGGUGGGUGUUUAGGUGGUUUAGGGAUGAAGGGUGGCUUUACAUGAGGAGGCUGUUUGGGUGGCAAGUGUGGAGGGUAUGUUGGUGGUGGACAGUAGGAGUUAGCAAGAGAAGUGAGCAAACUACCCAAAUUCACAAUGAGGACUAAGAGCAAAGCCAGGGUAUAAUUCCCCAUGUUCAAAACUCCACAACCCUCAAAAGAGUUGGGUUGUUUAAGACCGGAUAUUGAAACCCAACACCAUGCAAAAGCCUUCUUAUAGAGAUAUGGUGAGACAAGUUGUGAGUGAGUAUGUACAUAAGAGAGAGAGAGAGAGAGAGAGAGAGAGAGAGAGAGAGAGAGAACACAAUCCUGUACCUUUCUUUGUGGUACCAACUAAAGAUAUAUAAAACUAUUAAUCUCUGUGCAUAAUUAAUUAAUUUGUCAAAUUGCCAAGAUGCACAUUGAAUUGAGGUCUCUCCAAACUCCAAACUUCAACUUGAUCAGUAUCAAAUUCACCACAAACAAAAGGGAGGAAUUGAGUCACUUUCUUCCUUUACAUUCAGAACCAAGUAGGGCACUGCAAUCACUGACUUAAACUGUAGACAAAAGUAUUCAGCUUUUAAGGAGAAAAGGAUCAAGAAAACGCGGUUUUGUGAUAGAGGCAAGUUUUAACAUGUAGUGAGAGCCUUGCAAGUGACUAUUCAACCCGUGAUUGAGGUUUUGAUGCCAAGCCACAUGUGAGGCUUUCAUUGACAACAUUUUCUUGCAUUAAAAAAUUCUAAGGGUACAAAAGAGGCCUUAGACUUUUUCUACUUAAAGCACAUGGUUUUUCCUUUUUUCAUUUUUUGGGGGUUUUCUCCCGAAUAGACGAGUCCAUUAAUGCUACAAUGUUUUAGUCUAAGAAAUAUUCCUAUAUGAAUAGACCGUACAAUUGUAUUUGAGUGUCGGUUAUCUUAAUUUAUUAUUUUUUAUAUAAACGAUAUUGUAUUUUAAUUUAAUCCAUACUAUAAAAAGAAUUAUUUAAAUUUAGAUACAAAAUAAAGAACACAUUUGUUCUAACUAACUUAAUUAAUCCUAUGUGUGCAAUUAUUUUUUACAAUUAAACAACUCGAUUUGAUGUAGGAAUUUUCCUUGUACAAUUUAACUUGCUCGCUUUGCAAUUUCAUUUCAAAAAAGUAUAUGCAUGGCCUAGCCAUCAUGUCUUUCAAAUCAACAGCUCAUCAUAGGGCAUCUUUUUAAAAUGAGGGUAAUGCUGGCUUCACAUGCAGCUGCACAAUAAUUUCAAGAAUUAUUAAUCGUACCUAGCAUUGUUAGCAAGACAUUUAGGGCUGUAAUUAUGUGAAAAGUGAUGUUCGCCGAAUCAAUUAUAUAAGGAGAACUUACUGCAAAACAACUCUGUGUGGAACCCAUCUACUUGUUCUUUGUUUUUUUUAGGUCUGAAGUCCAUCUACUUGUUCACUCCACGCCAUUGAAGUGUAGUCUAUCUAAAAUGGUAAGGGUGCCCUAGUUUAGGCGUAAGUACUAUGUGCAGGGUUUUGGGUUUUUCUUUGUAGACAAAAACCUAGAAGUAUCAUAUCUACAUUGUUCUGACUAUUAAAAAAUUAGACAAAGGGGUAAUGAUUAUGCCAAAAUGAAUUUCAACAUCACUUUCGACCGACAAAAUUUCAUUUGCUUAUAUCGAAGCUCGUAUUGAAAUUUAUUAAUUUUAACAAAGUUAGAAUAUGUCAUCUGUCACGUAAUUUGGUGAAUAAAUUUUAUCUUUCGGUGCCUCUACAAUAUUAAAGCAUCAAAUAGUGCAAAUCAUGACAUCUUAUUUCAACGUUCAUUAACAGACCUUCAUACAAUCAAGGCAUCGGAUGCAAGUAGGGUGGUAGAUUUUUUCCCCUUUUCAACCCAAUAAUAUGAGUUAAAACAAUUAUAUGUGGAACACAAUAACACCGCUUUAAUAAUUCUAUCUAAAAGGGUAUAUGCGACAGCUGGCCAAGAGGUAUAUUCCAUGUACACAAAAUGUUACUUUCAACUACAUGCCAAUAUUUCUACAGCGAAAAUUCCAAAUCAACAUGCAAAGGGAAAAUGAAAUGGGAUGUACUUGCUGUAGUGCCUGUUUGGAUAGAAAGAAAGGAAAAGAAAAGAAAAGAAAAUUCAUUUCUUGGAGAAACCAGAAAUUGAGUUUUUCGUCCUUAUUUUCGAAGUGUCGCAAUCAAGUUUUUUUGAUAUAUUGAUGAGUCAUCCAUUGUAGAAGAAAUGGCAUCCAUCAAAACCUGCCACCAUUAAAAUCCAUGCAAAUCCACUUGUUACAAUUAUAUGAAGUCACUUGUGCAAAGCGACAUAUGAAUUUAAAGGGCGAUAAAGCCGAUGUAAUAUAUGUAGGGUCAGGCUGAGACUACUUUGUCUCCAAAUCUUUAACCAAAUCUAAUUUAACACUAAUUAUUAUUGCUCACUACAUCAAGUAAGAAAGAUUAAUAGUAUUUUUCGGUGUGAAUGCAUAAACGUAUCUGUGGAUUCUUAUUAUUUCGAUGUGAGCUUACAGCUUAGCAUAUUAACCUCACUUCAUAUAAAAAUUAUCUCCAAUCCUGAGGUCUAACUUUAUAAAAAAAAAUGAAAAUGACUUUGUAGGUCCAAAUCAAAAUGCAACGUGCCGACAAACACGGACUUAGUCAAGUUGGUUAAAGUGAAUGUGCUAUUCUCACUUUGCAUUCGAUUUCAAAUUCCCCUCCUUAUGAUUUAGAUUAGAUCUAAGUAAAACAUUGCUUAUAUAUAAAAGCAAUAUGCAGCUGUAUGCAGAAGAUUUGGUUGAAUAAUUGCUCUAUAUAAAAUAAUAGGUAAAGUACCUUGAUUAUCUUUUUUCCAACAACCCUGUUCCCUAUAUCUGCCCAUUGUUUAUAUCAUAAUCAAUCAAUUAAUUGAUUAACAACACCAAAUUCUUGAUACCUUCAGCAAAGACACGAUAUUUUCUACCCAAUUUAGUUUGUCGUUUGAAGAAAAAGAAGAAGGAAAAAAAAAACAUUUAGUUUGUCAGAUCAUAUCUUAUAGCAUGAGUGUUAUAUUUAAAACUAUAUAAGAAGGGGCAAAAUUUGGACAUACUUGGAUCAACUGUAACAAUCAUGGCAGUCCCUCCAAAAUCACAAGUGCCACCGGCAGCCCUGGUGCUCUGCCAGUAGCUGUUGAAGGCGUACGAAGCGUGGGACAACAAUGUGUCUGGUUUAUAGCAGGACCCAUUGGGCUGGAUUGACUUGCAGUCUGCACCAGACCCACACGCAUAGUCCAGGGCCUCUUGGACUAUUGGGCCAGGCACGGCUGGCUUGGCCACACACCACACCGCGCCAGACUGUGGUGGCUUUUUUCGUGGAGGGCUUGUGGGCCCUGAUGGUGGAGGGUAAGCUACAGGUGGGGCCAAGGCUGGUGGGCCUGGGAUAGGCUUGGGUGGGGAUGGAGGAUUUUUGGGUGGGCCUGGAAUUGUGGUGGGUGGGCCAGGUGGGUGAGGGGUGGGCCCAUUUGCAGGUGGUGGUUUUGGGAUGGGUGAGCAAGUGGGUGCAGAAGAUGAAGGGGAGGAGGAAGAUGAAGGAGUAUUUGGUUGAGGUGGGUUUUGGGAAAAUGGUGGAUUUGCACAGUAUGGAGGAAGAGGAACAUUUCCAGGCAAGGGAAGUGGUGCCAGUGAAUCAAAGGGUGGGAAAGAGAAGGGAGGACUUACCUCUAGUGGCUUAACAUUUGAGGAAGGCAAUGGUAAAUCUAACUCUAAGUGAUUUAUUGCUUUCAGCUUCUUCUCUAAUUCUGUGUCUUGGGAUUUUAAGAAUUGUGCAAAAAUUCUUGCAUCUGCUCUAAAACAAAGUCACAUAAUAAGUUGUUAAAAUUGUUCAAGUAGUGUGUCUUUGGAAAACCCAAAUAAAUAAAUAAAUUCUUGCUUACCACAUAAAAUGGAGAAAGUUGUGAAUGAAAUGGAGAUGAUGGCCAAUCUCAUGUAAGACAUUGUGGGCUGCAUCUCUUGAAAAGCCAAUGUGAUUAAAGGCAAAAUACCCAGAAGAAGCUGACUGAAAAUUUUGUGCUUAUUUAAUUCAUCCCUCAAGCAAACACUUGGGAUAAGUAUAUAUAGGCAGAUGCUUAGGCAGGCCAGAGAUGUGUGGGAGUGGUAACAAAAGGCGGUGGCCAUAAAGGAAAAUUAUCAACAUAGAGAGACUAAAGGAGAUUCCUGUGUCACAACUUUGUAGCCUAAGACUCAAAAAUAGUGUAAGAUAUACAACAUGCAGAGGACAAAGGUGAGGGAGAGAGAGACUAGAGAGUGUUGGUUUUG
rnacentral:lncRNA from 1 species